AAUAUUUGAUUUUAUAGAUAAAAUUAGUUUAUAAUUUUAUUUUAAAAUAGUUUUAUUUUUUUAAUAUUAUAAUUAGUUUUAUUUUGAAUAAUAAAAAAAACAAUUAUAAAAAUAUUUUUAAAAAUAAAAACUAUUUAUUAUUAUUUAUUAUAUUUUUUAUAUCUAAGCACGAGAAUUUUUGUAAUAUAGAAAAAGGGUGAAAUAAUAAUAAUUUUAACGCGGCUAAUUUUCUACGGACCAAAUAAAAAAAAUAAUUUUUAUCUAAGCUUAAAUUUAAUUAAAAAUUAUUUUUAAUUAAUUCAAAAAUUAGUUGUGGACAAAUAUUUAUUUGUUUUUACUAAAAGUAAAUAAAAAAGACACUGUACUAAAGUGGGAAAGCCACAUUGUAGCUGCUGUGAUUUAAUAUAAUAUAUAUAUAGGUAUAUAACCUUAAGGAGGUUAAUACCAAUAUAAUAUGAUUCCUUGGGAGGGCAUAAGAAGUGAAUUUAAAACCACAUGAGGUGAGAGGAGACAAAAGGAUGGAGUAAAAAGCUUUUAUUCAAGUGUCGCUUAGAAGAAAGAGAGAACAUCAAGAGGUGGGCUAUAAUUUUCUCUCUUGUGGAACUCUACUGCUACAUGUUCGAUAGUGCCCUAAGUUAUUAUUUUACCAUAUUGGUUGUACACUUUGAUAUGAUGUGGCCCUCUCUCUCUUGGCUAUUUAAGGGGGCACUCUUCCUGUGUGUUCCAAUCCAUGGACUUUUGACAACACAACAAGGGAGCCACUUCAUAUCUACUCUUUAUUUCAUUUGGGUUCUUUGAUCUUUUUGUAGUCGCUUCGUCUUCUAUAGUUGAAGCGACUCUCUUAACCUUCACUGGCAUCUUCUCUAGUUGCUUUGACUCUCUUCUAUUUGUUCAUCUUCUUUUGUUGGUUUUUUUGUAUUUAUCAACUAUGAAGUGUUUGCUAAAAUAGGUUAAAAUAGUAAGUCACAAAUUCCUUCUAUGAAUAUAGACACUAUUGGAAGUUUGCUAGAUCUCUUGUAAGCCCAUGUUACCUAAACUUUGAAUAUGUGCUGAGGUAUUUUGGAGGAGAGGAAAUGAUCAAAAGGAUAUGUCAUGUUCUUUUGAAGGUUUUUUUUUUUCCCUUGGUCAUAGUAGUUAAAACUAGCAAGGUGAGCAUGGGCUUUUUGUAUGCUUUUUUGUAUGAUAGAACAAAUGCUUAUUUUUCUCUUCGUUUUCAGUUAAGUUGCUUACCUUUUGUUGGGUUUUAUAUAUGGCACAUUACUCAGUAAGCUUAGAUUGGAUUAGCGAAAGAGAGCUUCCUUCAGUCCACUCAUGGGUGGAUUUAGGGUUUAAUUAGCUGCCGACUCAUUCAUUCAAAUACUAAGAUGAAGCAUCAGUUUCUUGGUAGCUGAGUGGAUGAUGCGGGAGGUAAGUUGGACCUUAUGCUGCCUAUGCUUGGACUGAAGGGAGCUCCCUUAGUUACAAACCCAUGCAAACAAUUAUAUGAUAUAUAUAUAUAUAUAUGUAUGCUGUACUCAUCUCUAUUUCACUCUUAUAUGUCUCUUUUGUCUGUAUCUAGAUAUUUUGAUAUUUUCUGGGGAAUCACUUGCAAGUUCAUGCAGGAUCUUAUCUCAAGUAAAUGCUUGUUAAUUAAUUACACUGCUUUUGUAGUUAUGGUCAUCUUAUGCAAUAAAGCCUUGUGAGUUUCUUGUAGGAAGUGUUUUUUUAAUUUGUUCUUAGGUUUAGUUAGAUUAUGAUCUAGUUGUUGAAUUUGGCCGUAGAUCUUACUCUUAGUUCAAUUUAUCUCUUCUCUUUUUAGUAAUGUUUGUGGAUUGAGUUUUGCGUUUGGUUCUUGACUCUGUGAGCUUAAGAUAGCUGCAUGCUUGUUUUUGAGUCAUACGAAAUUUCAAUAAUGACCUUUUUGUUGCUGUUGUUAAGUUAUGAAAGUAGGUUUCAGCAUGUCUCUUUCACGGGGAAAAGAAAAAGAAGUAAAAGACAUGUUUCUUCAUGGGUUCAGAUGGAUUUUAUACUUCUGUAAGCCUAAGAUCAUGCAUUUGCUCAGUUAUUGUUGCAGCAUACAUAUUGAAGAAAAGAGGAUCUCUCGUAAGUGAUUUCUUUGCAUAAUCUGCUUCAAAGUUAUUGAUUUGCAUGUAAUUUUCUCUUCCUUCACAAAGUCAUAUGUUUUGCUUAUAUUUGGUAUGUAUGAGGGUAGCUAGAUAAAUUGUAAUCUUCUAUGAUCUUGUGAGCUAUUGAAUUAUAUAGCCCCCACCCAAGCAUGCACUCUUGUAGAAUACCAUGCAUCUAUGAGAAAAAAAAUGUCGACGUGUCUAUUACGACUUCUAUUGCACCUGAGAGGCCUAUCUGGGUAGGGUAUAGAAGCUCCUUGCUUCUUCUUUGCAGUCUCAAAACAUUAUAUGAAAUAACCAUUUGAUUGUAGCCAGAAGUUUUACUUACAUCACAAGUUUUAUUGAAAUAAUUUUUAUGCUUCUAUGUUAUUCUUCCUGUUUUUCAUUUGUAUGGUCCCUUGUGUUGGCAUCAUUGACAGCCCUUCUCUUUGACUUAUUCAAAAAUUAAGGGAACUCGAUUGUAUGUUCUUCCUAUGUAUUUAUUUAUUGUGCGGUAGUUUCUAAUUAACGAGCCAUACGAAACAUUGGGUUAGUCCAACGAAAAUUGUUUCUGAAUGUUGAGUAUAGAUUUUUAUCAUACAAUAGCUUCGGGUAUUUUUAUAAUAGGAUCUUUACAAUGCAAAAAUUUACGUUUAUUUUGUUUGUUAAUUAAGUAGGGUAAUGGUGUGAAGAUUUAGCAUAAUUUGUCCGUAGCUAACAUUGUCUUAAUUUCUUUUGUCUUAAUUCCACAAAAUGACUUAACUAUACCUCCAUGUGCUAUUCAUUUCAAAAUUAAAUCAAAUCAUUUGUUUACCAUCCAUUGUGUACUGUGUAGGCAUCCUUGUCUCAUGUAGCAUAGUCUACUUUUUUUCUUGAGAUUGAUUGUUCUAAAUAAUCUCAGUGGCUUGUUGUGCUAAGUUGUCAUCGGAGUCUUCUGUAAUGUGAUCCUUGAGAUGGGCAAUGCUCCUUAGGCAUCUAGCUCUUUUUGAUUCAGUUUGUAUGCUGUAAUUGAAGAAUUCUCUUAUAUAUGAAGAUUCAUAAUUAAUUAAAAGUUGUCAUUUCAUGGCUCAUCAUUUAUGUGGUAAUUUUAAUCAAGUUCAUAGCGAACUUUCUUGCGGUGGCCUAUGCUGCUGGGGAGUUAAAUUUGUUAUUUGAUUUGUUUUGAUUAUAGUUAAUAGAAAAACAAGGUCUUUGAGUGAAAUAUUGAAUGAAGAUCUGAAGUUAGCAACUGAUAUGGGAAUGACACGGUAUGCAAGUUGCUCACCUGAUUUGUAAUGCUGGUUACUCUUUUGAGUGUGGUUAUUUGAAGUUGUGAAUAUAUGAAAUUGUAAAUAUUCAAUCAAAUGAGUAAUUCUGUUCUUCUGUUCGCUGACAGGCACAAGUGUUAUUCUUAAAUUCUCGCAUACUAUAUAUAUGAUGCUUAUAUAUUUGAUUGAUUUUUCAGGUUGAAGUGCAUUGUAGGCGACAUUAAGACUUUGUUUGGCGUGGCAGCACUGGCAUUUAGGUUAUCCUGUUGGAUUCAGUUACAGAAGUCUCUUUGUUGAGCAUUAGCGUGCAUUCAGGGUUGUCUUUGCUUGAUCCAGUUGUUGUGUAUGAUGAUGAGGUGCUGUUUGCAUACUCGUAGCUCAGGCCCGCAUCACCGGAGCCGUGUGUACCGAGUAUUUUAUGUGGUCAUGAUGUGCUUGGGAGAAUAUAUGAGUGUUAAUUUGUUUCUAUACUGCAAUGCAUCCUCAAAGUUGAGUAGCAUGUACCAAUUAUAUACUUACUGGAAUAUCUGUUUGCCUCACAAAAGCUCUGAAUUGACCGCAAACCCCAACUUACAAUUAUAAGCAAGUUUCUCUGUGCGUUCUCCCCAGCGAGCUCGUCUUUGCAUGAGCAGCUGAAGUCCUGUAUUAAUGCUUCUGGUUCUGAACCUCAAAAAUUUCAUCUGCUUUCAAACCACAAAGCUUAUAUUUGUCGAAUUUUUUACUAGAGAUGGGUUGUAGCGAAUUGUGUAUGUUGUUAUAUGCUCUAUUGGUAGUCGACUUGUAUGAUCAUUUAUGUUUGCUGUGUUCAUUCUACAGAUUUUCCGUGAUGGCGCCUUGCGUUCAGAAGAUACUUAGCUGGUUACACUGCAACUCUUCAUGCACCUUCAAAUAGCUGUACUUGUUCUCAACCUAAUGGGCCAUGCAGGAGCAUCUAUCCGGCGGGCUUAAGAAGCGUUUGAUGUUGGCCGAUCAAGUUACUGUCAAUAUUCAUUUGUAGCGGUUUAAAUUUGCAUGAACAUCAGUUAUUCCUUCGUCCUGCUUUUAUCUAGUUAUUCCUAUGCGAAACAAAGACGUGGAGGCAAUUGAAUGAGUUUUUUUUUAAGAGAAAGAUAGUAUGCUAUUUGCUUUGUUUAAUUUAUUUUUUAAGAAAUAAACUUAGCUGGAAAUGUGAAUCAAUUAGGAUUCAAAUUUGGAACUCGGUACUAAUUAUUUAGUCUUUUAUUAUUUGUGUUGGAGACGGUCAGUAAUUGAAUGAGAUUUAUCGUCAGAGACCAUUUAGUCUUUUGUUAUUUGUGUUGGGGACGGUCAGUAAUUGAAUGAGAUUUAUCGCCAGAGAUUUGAAGUUGGAUGUAAUGAUCUCAUCUGGUGUAAUUAUUGGUCACAAAAAGUUGGAGUGUAAUGAUCUCAUCUGGUGUAAUUAUUGACCACAAAAUUGUGAGAAAAAAAGGAUAUCUACGGCCUUCGUUGGUGUUGUUGUCGUAACUUUAUGUAAGUGAAAUUUUUACAAAAACUAUUAAUAGAGAGAGGUGAGGGAUUGUAAGUAAUUUUAUAUUUAAGAUCUUUAUAUGUUGGUAGAAAGAUAUUUUGAAAAUAUUUUCUUUCUUUAUUAUUAUUAUUAUAUGUAAUUAAGAUGUUAUUUAUCAUUUGAAUUGUAAGCUAAUUAAUUAUAACAAUAAAAUUUCUACUGAUAUAUAAAGUUAUAUGAAAUUAGUAUUAAGGAAAAAAGAUAUUGAGAGGCUAAUUUUAGUAUGUGUUUAUCUAUUUAUUUAUUUUUUUUUGAGAGAUAGGUAGCACGUUACCUGCUUCGUUUAUUUUAUUUAGAAAUAAACUUAGAUAGAAAUGUGUUUAUGUAUUUACGUUACCUGCUUCGUUUAUUUUAUUUAGAAAUAAACUUAGAUAGAAAUGUGUUUAUGUAUUUGUGAUUUUAAUACUGGUAUUUGAUUUAUCUUUGAAUCAAUACGACUGUGCAUUAUAUACCAUGCAGAGUCAUAUGCCAUGCACAGACGUAUAUAUAGUUUCUGAUCAGUGUAAAGAAGAGAUUUACGCGGAUCGCUGAGUUGUCGCCUCAAGUAUCUCUUAUAGUUCUAUGAUUUCUAUCCAAUGCUCUUUCAAGCACCACUAGUGUUCUACUUAAUUCAAAAAAAUAUGCUGGACAAGAAAAGUGCUUCCUCUACAAGUGCUUCUGAGCGCAGAAGAUGCGAAUGUUCGACGAAUGAUUCCGAAGCAGUAGAAUGCUCGAGAGUUAGAGGAGAUUGUUGGUUAGAUAGGCGCAAGAAACUUUGAUUAUUUUUCAUUAUGAUUUUCAUUCAUAGUUAAGAGUCCGGUGGCUAUUAUACUCUUAUGAAUAUAAAUUUUUUUGUACUUAUAAAUUUUUGACUGUUAAAUUUAUUUUUUUUGACCAUUUUUAUCCGUUAGAUCAUACUAUAUAACCAACCAUCCACUAAAUUUUAGGAGAUCAUUAUCAUUCUAACCAUAUAUCUCUUCACCCAACGAUCAAAAAUUUAUGAAUAGAAAAGGGCCUAUAUUCAUAAUAGUCCUAAAUUUUGAUCCUAAUAAUCGGUAUUAAGUGUAACUGAUACCAUACCGAGUUCCUGAUAGAGAGGUGCUGCGCCUCUCUGAAACCGUAUACUCUAACCCUAACCCAAGUGAAGUGGAGUGAAUAAGAAGAGAGAUGAUCACAUCUUGGAUUACUUACACGUGUGGAUUAAUUGGCUAAUUGCCCAUCCCCAUGGGCCAUAUGGGAGCAUACAUGGGGGACGAGGAGAAUCUCGCACUGCACUUGGGUGGCUCUGUGGACCAAUCAGAGACCUUCCCGCCACGAGGUGGUGGUACUUCUUGUUUACUUUUCUUUUCUUUCUCCAUGGCUGAGCUUUUGAACUCUGCCCAAGAACACACACACACUCACUCACUCUCUCUCUCUCUCUCUCUCUCAUCCAGGGACUGUACAUGUUCCAAUUCAAACAUAUAUAUAUAUAUAUAUAUAUAUAUAUAUAUAUAUAUAUAUAGUGAGGCUACUACGCUAUCGGAAGCACAGAGCCUUCCGUGCUUCCAGUUCGUUUUUUAUGUUGCGACUUUCGAAUCGUCGAUCGGCUCCGUUAAACUUGAUUUAGAGUAUUUGAAGUACCUAGAAAAUAAAUUUUAUGAUUUUACGAUAUCAUUUGCCUAGUGAACGUAGGGGCUCAAAAUCAACGGCUGAAAAUAAAAAUCUUACAAAAUAUAAUAAUAUGACAUUAAAAUUUUAAAUCAAAGAUUGAUCUUGUUUUAUAUAGUAUAACGAAUUUUUUAUUAAAAUUUCACAUGAUUUGGAUAUUUUUACACCGUUAAACUUGCAAACGGCUUACUACGGUCAUUGAAAUUUGUUGAUUUUGAGCCCAUUUGAUUACUAGACAAAUGAUAUCGAAAAAUAAUAAAAUUUAUUUUCUAGGUACUCCAAAUACUCUAGAUCAAGUUUAACAGAGCCGAUCGACAAUGCGAAAGUCGCAACAUCAAAAAUGAACUGGAAGCACGGAAGGCUCCAUACUUUCGAUAGCAUAGUAGCCUCACUAUAUAUAUAUAUAUAUAUAUAUAUACACACACACACACACACACACACGGAGGCCUCCGUGCUCCUGAGCCGUUUUCGAUGAUGGAAUUUUCGAAUCGACGAUCGGCUCCGUUAGACUUGAUCAAACGCAUUUAAAGUUUCUAGAAAAUAAUUUUUGCGACUUUUUGAUAUCAUUUAUGUAGUAAUCGAAAGCGUUCAAAAUCAAUAAUUUUUAAUGGUUGAUAUCUGCCGUUUUCAAGUUUAACGGUAUAGAAGUAUUCAAAUUAGAUAAAAUUUUGAUACAAAAUUUUUUAUACUAUCUACAAUAAGAUUAAUAUUUCUGAUCGAAAAUUUUAGGGCUAUAUCACCACUUUUUAUAGAAUUUUUAUUUUUAGCCGUUAAAAAUUAUUGAUUUUGAAUCCUUUUGAUUGCUAGGUAAAUGAUAUCGAAAAAUCACAAAAAUUAUUUUCUAAAAACUUUAAAUACGCUAGAUUAACUCUAAUGGAACCGAUCGUCGAUUUGGAAAUUUCAUCAUCGAAAACGGCUCAGGAGCACGAAGGCCUCUGUACUCCUGAGAGCACAGCAGUCCUGCUAUAUAUAUAUAUAUAUAUAUAUAUAUAUAUAUAUAUAUAUAUAUAUAUAUAUAUAUAUAUAUAUUAUACGCAAGAGCAAUUGCUUUUGGUGCAAUUAUAUAUUGGGUGUUAGUAUUUAUUUAAUUUGUUGAGAAAUAUGCAACAGGUAGAAUAUAUAUAUCUAAAUUACUUGCAAAUAUAUAUAACAAAAUAAGCUCAAAUUAUGUCAAAUAUACUUGACUAAAAUAGAAGCGUGCUUUUCAAAUUCUAUAACUUAGACUAAGAAUGCGGCAUGGUCACAUUAAAUGUGACAUUUUUCGCCUUUAACUUAAAACCCCUGCAUGCUUUGAAAAUAGUGCUGAGAUCUUAAUUGUCUCGAUACAAGUUUUGGGGUUGCACCCAGGUGUCACUUCCCCAAUAGUUUGUUCCAUUUUAACGUUGGCAUGGUUGUGUAAUGUGUUAUCCCAUUUCAAGUAGCUCCUUGAUCUCCAAUAUGGCAAUAUCUUAAUAUUUUUAGUAGGUGUGAAAGUGUUUCAAAGUUUUAUUAUUUUCUGAGCCAUGGUUUCUCCUACCGUGUUGGGAAAGGAUUUAUUAAUUGUGCGUUCGGGCUUUUUUUAAAUUAUUAUUUCCGCCCUUUGAGAGAGUGGAAGGAUCAUUUUUCAAAAACAUGGCUCGAGUUUUAAAAUGAAUACAUGAAUUUUCGCAAUUUGAAAUGAUAAUAAGUUUAUUAAAUUAAUUAAAUUAAUUUGUCCCUUGUUAAUGUGAAUUUGUUAAAUUAUUUUCUUUUUAUUGUUUAUCUACAAAGCAUAUGAUAAAUUUGUAAUGUGAGUGAGUGAACUAGCAACAAAUACCCUGGCCAUCUAUAGAAACAUCAAUCAACUAAGAAUCCCUAUGUGAAAAAUGGAUCAAAUUACAUGCAUAAAUUCGCUAAAUUGAAACCCUUAAAGUCCAACCCAGUAAAACUAUGAGGCCGCAAGGGCCAACUUGGAUGAGAUGGGCCUGAGUGAUGGUGAGCCCAAUUGUUUGAGAGGCCCGAAUCGAAGCUCAAAGCCUCAAACCCGGGGCCGGUGCGAUUCAGGUCCCCCGACGCACCCGAUUACGAAAUCGAAACACGAAUUUGGCGCGGGCUCACCAUCACCGUCCGAUCAAUAUUUGACACCCUCGCCGUCCGUUGAUUUCUCCCUCCGCUAUUCUAUAUUGGCCCGCUUCAAGAUCCCGUACCAACCCCUCUUUUUGAUUCUUAAACCCCCCUUCGCGCUCUCACACUUCGCUCCUCACUACUCUCACUCGCGCGCGCUCUCUCUCCGCCUCCGCCGUGGCCGUCGCCGUCGCCGUCGCCGUCGCCAUCUCCGGCGCCUCCGCAGCCAUGGAUUCGCAGCUCUUGGAGAUCAACCUGAUCUCCGCGCAGCGGCUGAAGCCGCCCCCGGGGCUCCGGCGGGUCCAGAGCUACGCCGUGGCGUGGGUCGACCCCUCGGCGAAGCUCCGGACCCGCGUGGACCGCGUCGGCGGCGAGAACCCCACCUGGAACGAGAAGUUCAUCUUCCACGUCCCCGCGGGGUUCCUCGCCGACGACUCGCCCUCCGCGGUAUCCGUAGAGAUCUACGCCGCCGGGGGCUGGUACCUCCCCGACUCCCUCGUCGGCACCGUCCGAUUACUCAUCGGCAACGAGCGCCUCCUCCGCCGGCCCCGUGACGCCCCCGCCUUCGCCGCCGUCGGGAUCCGCCGCCCCUCGGGGCGGAUCCACGGCGUGCUCAACGUCGGCGCCGCCAUCCUGAGCCGCGUCUCCCUCCGCGCCGCCGAGGCCCUCGCGUGGAGCCCCGCCGUGGGGUACCGCGACCUCAUGGGCGAUGAGCGCGCCCGCAUCCCGCGGAUCCCGUCUAGGGUUCGCACCGCCCUUAAGGACGCGAACCGCGACGCGACAACAAGCGGCCGUGGGACGAAGGAGGCGUCGGAGGAAGAGGAGGCUGCGGCGGAGGAGAGAGGGGGAUCGGACGGUGGGGUGGUGUUCUGCGGCCCCUGCUUCAUGCCCUUCCCCAGGAGGAUUCAUCUGAGCCCGUCGGAUCAGAACCUCCAGAUCCCGUACCCUGAGGAAAACCCUACCAUCAGAUGAUGGACGGUCAGGAUCUCUCAAUCCUGAUCUGCUCUGCAUGUUUUAGGCAUUCUCUCUUGUUGCUGCUGCUGUUCUUGCCCAUUCUUUCUCUCUGUAGGUCGAUUUGUUAUUGCUGUGACCAAAAUUCUUUUACAUCUCGCGAGGAUAAACUUAUGCUGCUUUCAGAUUCUUGAAGCUCAUGUAUUGAUGUAUAGGAUUGGUGUCAUUUUGAGGUCUACUUGUCCUUGGAUCAUUCAUUUUAUGUUGAUAUUCUACCUUAGCAUUGUUGUAUCUUUUCUCUUGUUUGAGAUAUUAUGUCACACUAUGGAUUAGAAUGAAUCAUCACCGUCUACGAGGGAUUGUCAUCAAAUAACGAAGCUACAAGAAGGAUCCUUGUUUGAUUAUCUACGUCUCCUUUAUUAAUGUAAUUAACACUCGAUUGAAUGUUGACCCUAUGUAGAGUCAGCUUGCUUUGUAUGAAAACUUGCCAGUAUUGAUCUUGUUAUGUAUCAGUUCACGGCCUUAACUUUGAAACAGAUGAUUUACUUAAGUGAGGGGAUGUCGGUUCAUGUCCUGUUAUGUCCUACAUUGGUUUUCUCGAGGUUAGUUCGUAAUUAGUAAAAUAAUUUUGACCGGUGUGGUCGUAUCAAUGCCUAUUUGAGUUGAUCAAGAAAUUGUUCGUUGUUUGGUUGGUUGGGGCAAAAUCAUAUUCUGACUAACAAGUUCUUUAAAAAUUUGCUACGUUAUAUUAUAGAAUGAUUGGAAAAUGGUGUUCUUUACCUCUGUCAACUAGGUUAUUGGAAAAUGGUGUUCUUUACCUCUGUCAACUAGGUUAUAGGUGUGCUAGUUGUGCUUGUGCUAGUGUGCUUGUGUUUUUGUCUGGAGGUGUGCUCGGGAUCUGCUUUGUUAGAGCUAGUGCCGAGGGUGGGAUUGGGAUAUUCUCUGUAUCGUGCAUGGGGGUGUGCUCGGGUAUCAUUACUCGCGAUUUGUUUUCGUCUAAACGCUUCUGUAAAUAGGGUUCAUCCCUGUUUAAUCAAAAAAAAUAUUAUAGAAUGAUUUCUUUCUUACAUUUCUUUUUGUACUUAGCAGACAGAUAUAUAUGUCCAUAAUUAUGGCUGUAGAAUAUUUUUUGGCACUAUUAACAGAAUCAAAAGAUGCAUUUCAUCCUUUCUACAUAAUUGGCUGGAUACCUUCUUUAGCUUGAGCUAUUUCAACCAUUAAUUGCAUUAUUUAUGAGCCAUUCUUUUAGUGUGGUAUUAAGGUGUUCUUUCCCAUCGAAACAACGUUACAUCGGGGACCUUUAUAAAGUUAUAUUCUUGAUCUGACAAAGAAUCUUGCCUUAUACAGAGUUGAAUGGAUUUAAUAGAACGCACUAGAGCCGACCCCACUAAUAUUUAGGUGCUAUAAGGCUUAUAAAUAGUUGUUGCAUUACUUUCCCAAUCAUAUUUUAUUAUAACAUUCAACACACGAGUUUAUUAACUUAUUAAUUGAUUUGAUGUCCAAGAUAUUCUGUAUGCUACAUCUAAUGAAAUAUGUCAUAUCAGUGACAUCGCUAUGAAAGAGAAUUUGAUUGUGUGCUUUCUAUUAUAAAAUAAUUUGAUUGUGUGCUAACUAUUAUAAAAUUUAUGGUAAUAGUAAAAGUAGUUACCUGACAUUUUUUUUAUCUCCAAGAUUUUCAAUAGAGCCAAUAGAUUCAUUAACUGAUGAGACUAGUGCUUUUAUUUGCAUGAUGAUCAGAAUUUUUGAUAUACCUUUAUAAUGGAUGUUUAACUAAUUUAUAAACCAACAAAACUGUUGCGAGUGGUUCAUAAGGUGAAAUGCAUCUAGUUUAUACGGCCUUCACAGCUGCAAACUUUCUUCUACUAAAUUCUGUUUUCCAUUUUUCCAAUUGUUUCCAUAUAUUCUGUACCCCCAUUCAUCUCAUGCAUACUUUGGCUAAAAUUUUCAAAUAUUGAUCUCUGUUUGACAUUUGAUUAUGGGAAUUAGGAAACAUUAGCCUUUCCAACAUCUGUUGUGAAAAAAAUGCAGCUUGAAACAAUGUUCCUCAUAUAUUUCGUAGUGACACAAACUGAUAUACAUGUUGAAUAUAUAAGUAUGCUCUUUGCUUAGCCAUUGACUUUCAUCUGCCAAUCUAUCAAAAAUUCUGCUUUACUGCUUGAUGCCAAUAAUGCACACAUUUUUAUGCAUACAUUUAGGCACAUUUAGAUUUGCUUGCAUGCUCCUACAUAUAAAAUUUAUGUUUUUCUUUUUAAAUAUAUUUGUGAAUGUAUGUGAUAUGCUUUUGCAUUUUGUUUGGAACAUGAGAAAUCAUUACAUGGGUUUAUUAAAUAGUAAAUCCGUGUAUGAAAUUCUUAGAUUCUUUUCUAGGGCUUCCACUAUCCUUAUUUAUCACGUGAAUACGCGAUACCAUAAUCUCUCUAUUCUCAACUCUUAUCCACCUACAUUCUUCCAUCGCCAAUUUUUCCUCGUCAAAUCUCUGAAUCUUCAGAGAAGUUUCCUUACAGAUGUUAACUCUUAUCUAUUUCCCUCUGGACAAGCAUCACCUAUUGCUAGAUUUUGACUUGUUUAUUUGUAUAUUAGAAUAAGCCUCAAAGAAUAAGGGCAUUCCCUCUAAUUGUCAUGAAGAGCUUUAAUUUGUAGAUAUCCUCUUCUCUUCAUCCACAAUCUGAGAUUCAUCCUAAAAUCUGAGGACCAGCUCCUCUAUCCCACAUCAGAGUAGCUAUUGGAAAUCAUAACUCUUUAAGUCCAGUGGACUUACGAAAUUCCUAUAAAGCUAUAGUUGCAGCUAAUCUAUAAUGGUGAGAAAAUCGAAGACAAGUACGUGGAGUUUAGCUGAUAGCAAGCAAUAUCAAGGACUCUCUCUCUCUCUCUUUCUCUCUCUCUCUCUCUCUAUCUCUCUUCUUUUGCACUAAUUGUUACUUUUUACAAUUGGUCUUUAUUUUACAUACUCUUAUUAGUUUGCCAUUUUUCCUUGGAACAAAGAUCCUACCUGUUUUUAGGUGCUUCUGAAAUAUCUUUUCUAUUCUGUUAUGAAUCUUUUGGUCAGUAUUACUGAUGUUAUUAUCUCAUUCUUAUCAUCUGUUGAAAAGUUUCCUAUUGUUUUCCUUUCACAUACUCGGAGCCCUCUCUCUGUAGACAUCGAUGGUAUUGGUUUGAUCGAUCUGAUGACCAUAAAGAUGCUUGUUGAAUCAUUCAGUCAUUAAUGUUGCUUUCUAACGUAUUGGAGUUUACCGUGCACUUGUCUUAAUGUAGUUGGUCUGUAUUCUAAGAUUGAUUCCAUUGUUUUCAACAUAGAUUUGCCUCUUUUGCAUAUGGCUUUUAUUUGCUUUAGAUGUUGACUUGUGUGUUAUUCGUGAUGAUGACAUAUUCUGCGUAUACUGCCCAAAGAUUGUCCAGAUUCAUCUAAUAUAAGGCUUUGUGCCUUUAGCAUUAUUAUUUUUAUGUACAAUUAGAGAAACAAAUGGCCACUAUAGUGUUAGAAAUUAGUAGUUCUUCUUUUCUAAAGAAAAGCAAUAAGAUGGAAAGAGAUGUUUUCUUUAUGUUAAUGCGCUGAUUGGGCACUGCAUGUUUCUGUAAAGGCGAGCCUUAAAGAAUUAGUUGAUGACGGGGCCACUUCACCAUAUGACCCACUUCACCAUUAAAUUUUUGCUUUGAACAACAUACGCCAAUUGCAAUCCACAUAAUCUUCGAUCGAAGUUGCUGCCGCCACUGCCGUUUGCUUCGUCAGGUCGUGGAUAUCCAUUGAUUCUGAUACUUAAAAAAUUUAUUGGCUUUUAUCUAUAGGCCCCUGCAAAUUUUCUAUUUACAUGUUGUAAAAAUCUUGAAAUCGCUCUAAUUCAUGUUCGUUUGGAUUGCAUUUUCUUACCACCAACAUCUUUUUCUCGAGUAUGAAGCAUCAAACUUUGAUCUGCGGGCUUUUUAUCUUCUUAACUGAGUUUUUAAUUGUAUGAAUGUGCUCGCAUGUCGAAUUAAGUUUUCAUGCAUACAUAUGGAAUUUCAGAUUUUCAACGGACAUAUGUAGCCUUAUAUGAUGUUGUAGGGUUAUACAUGUAGUUUUGUCGAAAGAUACUCUUAUACAGGGACAACCAACCAUCUGCUCCACCCAAUUGAACUUGGAUCCGAAUCCUCUCUUUUUUGAAUGGGCUCUCACUUCAUCACCCAAUUCCUCCACCAUCUAAAUUUGAUGAAUUGGAUCUUUCGGAAAGUCGCGGCAUCAUCGACUUUUCAUUCUUUCUAUUUUUCAAUUGCUUCCACUCUUCAAUAGCCCUUUCCUCCCAUGCGACUUCCGAGCCUUAUCGAGCACUGUCACAUCAAAAUAUUGGCUUUUAUUAUUGCCCUUUUUUCUUUAUAUAUUUUGUGGAAUCUGCACUUACUUUAGUUGUACUGUUGCAUAUACUUGUAACAUUCCAUAGAUGACUACAACCUGUCAUGAAUCCUUUUCCUCAAUGAUGGAAAGCAAAAGCCAUUUUGAGAUGUGUAAUGCUUAAUCUGGAAGGAGCUUACCACUAAAAUACCUUUUUUCUUUAAGUAAAACAUGUGUUGGCAUUGUCACUUUUUUUUUUUUUUUUUUUUUUUUUUUUUUUUUGAGUUUCCCCACAAUCUCCUUUGAGGAAUAUAUACUUUCUAUGACUUGGAUUGUUCAAAUUUACUGCAAAUCAGGAUGAAAAAUGUUAGGAUUGAUGCCGUUAGUCCAUUAUAGAAUGAUUUGUCAAUGUAAAUUGAGAAUUUCUCUGACUCAUAACACGUAACUUCUUGGAGUUUACAGGCGAAUCAAAUAGAUCUGGAUGUAAGGUCACAAGCUACACAAAUACAUGCAUGUACUCACAUAUGCAUCUUAUUAGCUGAAGCCUUAUAUAGUUACUUAUGAUAUGUAGUUGAAGUAAAAACAAACUUCAGGGCAUCGAUAUCAUAAGCUCUAGUUUUACAUUGUUGAUGACUUUUUAAUGAAGAAUCUCUUAUUAUUAUUGUAAAAUACUUAUUUAAACUGUACUUAUACAUAAGUUGGACUAAAUAUGCCUUUUCAUAUACUCCAAAAAAAAGUAAUCUUUAUUAGAUUGAGUAACGUGGUAUCAGAGUUAGCCCAAACAAUUUUAUAGCGUAUAUUUUCAUUCCUGUUGUCACGUGAUAGGACUAGAUCAUCUUAACAUUAGCAUGCUAUUUGUAAGAAGUAAAUUUUUACUGUAGAAAGUAAAUUUUUAGGAUGCAAGGAUAUUUCUACUGUCCUUUUUAACAUCAAUAUGAAACUGUUUGGGAAGCCACCGAAUAGUGUAAGCAACUUCUUUGUCCUUUUUCUCAUUCUGAGACACACGUCAGAGUCUCGCGGUGUCGGCCAAUCCUCUUUCCUGCGCAUAUCCCCUCCCAUAGAUAACAAAUUCUCUUUUCGCACAUCGUAUCUCCUCCAAUCAAUCCAAACUUAAAAAAAUUAAAGGAAAAAAAAAACAGAGAGUCAAAGCAACAACAAUUAAUAUUUAUCUUAUCAACCUUACAUAGAACUAACAAAAAAAGUACCGAUGGUUGAUAUUCGAAAUUCUAAAUUUAGAAUAUAAUUAUUUUAUAUUUUUAACUUGGUUUAUUUUUUUAAAAGAAAAAAGCGAGACUGAUAGCAUGCUGUCUUUCUCUUUUUUAAAAAAGAAAAAAAAUCUUAAUUCACUUGGACUAUGUUAGCAAUACUUGCUUUUUUUUUGUUUUUUUUUUUUAGAGAAAUAGGUAGUGCGCUACCCGCUUCGUUUAUUUCAUUUUGAAAUAAAUUUAGCUGGAAAUGUGAAUCAAUUAGGAUUCGAACUUGGGACCUCGGGUACCAACCACCGAGUCCUUUACCAUUUGCUCUAGGGACGAUCGGUAUAUUAGCAAUACUUGUUGUGUGGAGAGUCCUUGUGAAGUAAUAGUUUGUCUUUAUUCUUCUCUAACCUAACUUUUUUUGUUUUCGUGGGUAAAUUUUAAUAGCAAAAAGGAAGGGUACAAAAUGUACACAUCAUUAUUCGCAAUAUGAAAGGUUUAGAGGAGCAUGCCACAAUUUAACUUUAAAAAGAGUGGAUGAAGAUGUGAGACAUGAAGGUAGGUAUGGAAAAAAGAAAAGGACGUCCAAGAUGCCUCUACCAACCUUGAAAGGAACCUGACCUUAAUCUUUGUUUAAGGAUGUUAACGGAUCGGAUUCGGUCGAAUACUCAGAAGACCGAAAUAAGAGGCGUAGAAGUUAUCGGGUCCAAAAAAAAGGAGCUUUACAUCACCUACAUGGUUGUAGAGUGAGAAUGUGCCCUAUGCUCUCUACAAAGCUUGGCACCGUAAAGAAAGAAAAUUAUAUAGAACACAUCCAGGAUUAGGAUGGACACAGAUUUUGAUCUACAUGCAUGAUACAAAUGUACAUCAUCUAAUCAAUCACGUGGUGUUGUGCUAGAUGUGUUCCACACAAUAAGCUUAUAAUAUAUCCUCUUGUUAAAUAGUUAUUUUUUUCUAUAUAGAUGUAUCAAAAACUGGGAGCCAUAAUCAAUCAUAUUUACAUCUUUGAAUGCGUUGUAAAAACAUGCGUUAAAAUCUAUUCAUAUUUAUUUAGCAUUAAUGAAUGAAAACAUACUUGGGGUUCUUUAGGCAUCAGUUUUGUUUUUUCUAAUUCUGGCAAGUAAGAAACUCUUUAAUGAAAUUUGCAAAAUAGAAACAAAUUACAACCCUUAGCAGUUCAGAUCAAUGUGAGUAGAUGCAUGGAUCCAAACAAUUGAGGGGCCAUAGUUUCAAAUUUCUUGGUCUAAUUCCUUUCAGCAUUCAAAACCAAAAUAAAAAAUUUGAACUAGAAGGAAAAUCUAUGCAGCCAAAUAUUUCUAUUUCUAUAUGAACAUUUAAGGUGCAAGAAAACAAUAAUACUAUAUAACCAUAUAUAAUAAACUUACAAGUCAUUAAUUAUUAAUUUAUAGAUAUUCUUCAGUUAAUAUUUGAAACAAAGGCAAACUUCAAAUAAGGAGAAAGUUUUCCAUGAAAUAUUCUUACAAUAUUAUAGCCUCUCAUAUUUGUAAAGUAAGAUGCAAAAAUUAAAAAAAUAUAUAUAUAAAAAAAUAAUGUUAACAAGUCAUUACUCUGCACUACUGUAAUUAAUUGGCUUGUGCUGUGGUGCAUCUUAAUGAUGUGAGCCUAGAUUUUUUUAAUUUAUUUUUUAAUCUUUUUUAAUUUUUAUCCCAAGUACACAACAAUAGCCCCCCUAAUACCACAGCACACAAAAAGUGAAAAAAAUAAUUAACCAAAAAGCUUAAAAAGUAGAGAGAGGGACCAAAGUUUUUCUCCAUUUAUUUUUAAAGUUUUGACAAAGUAAAAAGAAAAAGGAAAAAAAAAAAAAGAGAAAGAAGAACAAAAAAGGGGAGGAAACCAAAGUUGGCCCUUUAUGUAGCUAGUCCAAAAGAUUGGUUAAAUUGCAUUAACUAGUCCCUGAGCUUUGAGUCAAUUUUCAUUUUGGUCUAAAAAAUAAAGCUUGGUAAAAUUGAAAUAUGUGAUAGUAGUAUAAAGAUAUGUUGAUGCACCUUGUGGAGGCAGUAGCUUUUUUUUAAUAUUAAAUAUAUAAAAAAUUAAAGUGGUUUAUUAACGUGAGAGUUUGAGAAUCAAGAUAAAACAUAGUAAAACAUAAGGAGACUAGUGGCGCAAUUUACACUCUAAAAAAUAACAAUAUUAUUAUCUCCCCCAAAAAAAAAACAAUAUUAUUCAUACAUUUCAAAAAUAAUGUAUUUCCUGCAUCACACUUAUCUGUAAAUUUUUUUGACUUAUAUAUAAUGCGGUAAAUAAAAAAAUAUUAUUCAUUAAAUAGAUGAGUAUAAAUCAUACACUUUUUUUUUGUGAGAGAGAUAGGUAACAUGCUACCGAUUCAUUUAUUUUAUUAAGAAAUAAACUUAGAUAGAAAUAUAAAUCAACUAGAAUUCGAACUUAAAACCUCGGGUAUCAAUCAUCAAGUCCUUUGCCACUUGCGCUAAGGACCGUCGGUAAAUCAUACACUUUGUAGUGGUGGGGAUGUAUGGGUAACUAUAUUUUGCUCUCAACACAAUCAUAUAAAUAUACUCUCCAUAAACAUUACAUUACACAACAUGUCCUCUCUCUCUCUCUCUUCUCUUGAGACCUCUGCCACUUCAGAGAGAGAGAGAGAGAAAGGGAAGAGAAAACCACUUCGGGGUUUGGUUUUGGCCCGUGCCUGUCGUUUUGUGUUUCUUAGCCGUGCUUAAAACCACUGUUAAAAACAACUGUUUCAUCUCUCUCUCUCUCUCUCUCUCUCUCUCUCUCUCGCGCGCGCGCGCUUCGAUUCCUCUCUAUUUUCGAUCUCGAUCCCGAAGCGCACAAACAUUAUCUCUCCAUGUGGUCCUUUUUGCUCCUUAUUCUCCUCUCCUCCGAAGCGUGGGGUGCGCUACGACGCGGACCCGUGUGGUUUUCCUGGCUUGUAGUGGUCAUACGCGCGUAAAAGAGCCACCUUUGCUUCGUUUCACCACCAUUUCCCUCCCCCCCCUCAUCCGAGCUUUGUGGCGAAAUCGCGAAGAACCCUUCUUUUGAAACGGGUGUUCGGAUUGGGAGAAGCCCAAAAGGCGUGAUCUUGGGGGGUCUUCUCCUUUUGCUGUAUCUUAUCCUGUUGAGGUAUCGGAGAAAACCCAUUUCUCCUUUUCCCCCCUCUGUUUCACCUUUUUUUUUUUUUAUAUAUGCUACGAAUUUGGCUCUUUUCCUUUUUAUCUUAUGUUUUGCAUCAUCCCAUUAGUAGUGGGUUCCAUUUUGCAAGUUUUAUCAGUGUGUCCAAGUAUAAUUAGUUACCAUGGCGCUUUUUAGGGUUUGAUCAUUGUGGCAGGUCACUACUUUGUCUCUUUUUGGUGGUCAUCUUAAAUAAAAAAACAAGCUUUGAAUAGUUUAAGUGGUUGUAGUAGUUGAAAGCUCCAUUUCUAUGGGCAUGUUACAAUACUUAUCAUGUUAAUGUCAUUUGGUCCAUUUACAGGGUUAUAUUUCCAUCACUGUGGGUUGUCUUUGAGUAGUCCUGGUCCAUGCCUUAAAAAGUUUAAUGUUAUUGAUUCUAACUUUAUUUAUUAAAAAGAAUUUGUUCCAUAGUUUCGAUUUCUCGAUGAUUGAAAGUGAUUGGGGUCCUCAUAUGUCGUUUUCUAACCUAGAAUAAUUUGCGCCCAGCAUCAAGUUAUCUAUUUCGUCGAGGAAGAUGUCGAAUUAUCUGUCCUUCGAUAGCGAAAUCUGGAAUGCUAUUCUGUUUAUUUUGUUUCUUCGUCUUUCCUUUUUCGUUGGAUUUCAUGGACUUACUUUUCAGGUAAUUCGAGUUUCGCGUCAUAUAUGAUUGCUCUCAUGGAUGAUGAGUUAUCAUGGGAGUCUCUCUCCACAGACCAUUUCGCGAGUGAUAUGAUCAACUUCAGAACGGUUCCCGAGCGAAACGAUGGAGAAGAACAAUUCAUGGUUUCGCUGGAUAGCAUUCUGCCGGAUGAUUUAUUAGAGAAAAUACUCUCCUUUUUACCCGUCGCGAGCAUAGUUAGAGCUACAUCCGUUUGCAGAAGAUGGCGCGAUAUAGUCCGCUCAAGGAGGUUUCUAUGGGCCAACAAGUCACCUCAAAAGCCGUGGUACUUCAUGUUUACAUGCAACGACGCUGCCGCUGGGUAUGCGUAUGAUCCCAUCUUCAGAAAAUGGUAUAACGUCGGUCUCCCUUGCAUUGAGAAAAGCAAUUGGUUUAUCGCUUCGUCUUGUGGGUUAGUUUGCUUUAUGGACUACGAUAGCAGGAGCCGCAUCUUCGUUUGCAACCCAAUUACUAGAGAUUCGGUUAAGCUUCUCGAACCACCUGGUGCGAAAUUCCCUGACUAUAGUACGCUUACUAUAUCUGUUGACCGAUCUUCUUACGACUACACUGUUGCAGUGGCAAAAUCAAAACAAAUUCCUGGCGAUUUUCUUCAGUGGGACUUCUCGAUACACAUGUACGAUUCAAAAAGUCGAAAUUGGAUCACUUCUAUUGAGGAGGUUUUUAUGGGUUGGAGAGGAGGCGAUGAUAGUGUGAUUUGUAAUGGAAUAUUGUAUUGCUUGGUCCAUUCGACUGGCAUAUUGGGCAGUUCCAACUUUCGUCAUAGCCUCAUCAUCUACGAUCUAGCGGCUCGGUCUUCUCGCACUUCCUUGAUGCACGAUUCGAUCCCGGCCCCUUGUUCUCUCACCUGCGGCCGGCUGAUGAAUUUAAAGGAGAGGCUGGUUAUGGUCGGCGGGAUAGCGAAGAACGAAAGGCCGGAUAUCAUUAGAGGAAUAGGAAUUUGGGAGCUCUAUGACAAUAAAGAGUGGCGAGAGGUGGCCCGGAUGCCCCACAAGUUUUUCCAAGGGUUUGGUGAGUUUGACGAUGUUUUUGCGAGCAGUGGGACGGAUGGCCUUAUAUACAUACAGAGCUACGGGGCGACUGCGUUGCUUGUUUUUGACAUGAGCCAGAAGCAAUGGAGAUGGUCGGUGAAGUGUCCCGUGACUAAACGGUUUCCUCUGCAGCUAUUUACAGGUUUCACCUUCGAACCUAGGCUUGAAGUUGGCCCCUGAGUUCGAAUCUCCUCUCAAGCAAAGUUUUGUGGAUUUGACUAGUUGCCUACGAAGUUCUUUUUCUUUCGGAGAGACACUUAGAAAGGUUUUAUUACUUUUGAGGGGCUUAUAGGAGUUGCUGACUGGUAUAGGUAUCAGUGACAAAAUCUUUCUGAUGAUUUUUGUUCUUUCAUAUGUUUGUCGGUGGAGCAUUCUGUGUUUUUUUACUUUGGCAUAGUGUUGAUCUAUAGAAUGGCAGAAAUGCUGCCUCACUUUUUCCUUGUAUCCUUUCUUUUUUUUCAAAAAUAAUCCAUACGUCGGCUUUUUACAGCUUGUCUCGCUGGAAUCGCUUUCAUAUCUUGUCUACUUGCAUUCCACUUACUACAGCUUUAUACUAAAAUUUCUUAAGAUUUAAGUCUAGUCUCUGUUUCCUUCUUUAUCUCUAUUCCUGCUGUACAAAUGGGAUGAUGCUUUGUGGGUAUAGAUAGUACUAACCAGAGAAAUUAUCAAGUAUUUUGCAAUAUAUAUUUUUUUCUGUUUUAUCUCUCAUAUCUGAGCAACCAGUUCUUUGUAAUUAAUUCAGAUGUUCACACAAGGUUGGUUGUGCCUCUGAAUGAUAUUCUGCAGAAAAAGAAGAGAACACUAAUCUUGCCAAAUUUGUUAAUUACUUGGAGGAAUGGCCUUGCCAGUUGUUUACAAAAUAUUAUUAAAUGGAAUUUAUAUUCUCUUUCAAUUGUAAAAUAUUUUAGUUUCUGAUGGUCAUAAAUUCUUCAGUGAUGUAUAAAUAGUGUGCAGGGAUCAUUGAUAGAGUUUCAGCUCUGUAGCAGUAAUUAAAGCAAGUCAUGCUUGCCAUAUGAGGCCUUUGUUAUGUCCAAUUUAUGGUCAUAUACAUGGAUUAUAGGGGUGGCAAUCCAGCUCGCUGUUCGCGAGCCAGCUCAUGUUCGGCUCGAAAUAAGCUCGAGAUCGGACGCUUUAACAAAGGAUUUCACUCGGUUAUUAAUAAAAAGUUGAAGACAGACUGGGUCGGCUUUCCGCAUCGUGUUCGCUCCGAUAUACACUCGAAAAAGUACAUAUAAUUUUAUAUUAUAUAAUUUAUUUAAUAUAUAUUUUUUUAUAAUAAAUAAAUAUAUAUAUAAUUAUAUAUUUAUUAUAUUAUAAUUUUAGCAAAUAAUAAAAAUAUAAUUGGAGUUUUAAUUAUAAAAAGACUGACUUUAUAUGUAAGUUCAACUAUAGAUCAAAGCCUAAUAGAUAAGAUUUAUAAUUAUUUUUAUAUUAAUAUUUAAUCUAAUUUUUUUUUUAAUUAUUUUGUCGUGGCAGGCGAGGGGUCGGAGCCAGCGGUGUGUUGGCGUAGGCCGUUAAUCACGAGCCGAACACGAGCUGAAUUUUUCGGCUCGAUACUUUAACGAGCCAGCUCGUGUUCGGGUCGUUUAAUAAACGAGCCGAACACAAGCCGACCCCAGCUCGCUCGUGUUCGGCUCGUUUACACCCCUACAUGGAUAGGCCAGGCCUGCAUACUACAUAGAUCAAAACAAGGUAGGGAAUAAAGCGUUUUGUUUGAUAGAGACACAGCAAAUUGUAAAAGGGAAAUGCAAUUAUGCAGCUCUUUUUAAGAUGAUGGGUUGUUACCUAAUAUAAUAUAAUUAGCUGUGGAGAAUCCAAAAGGCACAUUGGGUAUUGGAAUUUUUGGUUAAGGAGAUGCUGCUCUUCUUCCAGAAGCCAAAAGCAAGAACUGGCUUUUGAAGCUUGUAGUUUGUAAGAUAUUAGAGCCAAAAGAACACUUCAUGGGUGGGGUGUGACAUGCAUUAUCUUUUGAUGUGAACUUAGAUUUAAAGAGAAAAAACGAGAAGUGGGGAUCUUUGGUCUCAAUGUCUAAUUGUAAACCAAUAAAGGAUUCAGUUGCAUGUUUUUGAAAAUAAAGGUGUCAAAAGAGAUAAAAAGAAUUUUGCAUUUUGUGCUAACUUUUGGUUUAUGUCCGUGACAUAGCAUGUUACGGAUACAACUCUCUAUGAAGCUCUUAAAAUUAUUAUUAUUAUUUUUUGCUACAAUCAGAGAUAAAUCCUAUUUUACAUGCCAAAAUUUGUUCUAAAUUGAAUCAACUUCAUUAUACCUUACGAGUCUUUGACUCUUUUCAUAAUAGCAAUUGGCUAAUUGUAAACUUUUCAGCAGCAAUAUAUAAGUUUAUCCAAAGAUAUUAUUAAAUCCCUUAGCCCUUCUCUUUCCAAAGGUACUUUUGGAGGGGUUACUUUUCUAAUUGAAAAAGCAAUAGGGACAAGUAAAUAAAAAUUGAGCAAUACUACGUACCCAUACACACUAUCUAUAGAUAUAAAACUUGCACCCAUAGGCUUUUGAAAAAUGCUAAGUUUACAACUCAAAUUUGUUGUAAUUCCUACAACCUCUCAUCCAAAGAGUUAUAGAAUUUGCCAAUCUCUUUUUGAAUUUUAGUAUUAAAAAAAAAUGAUGAGACAAGAAGGAGAAAAGAGGGAGUUGGAUGGGUGAGGUUGUAAGAUUACAAUUUUCUAUUUUUAAAAUUUGUUGAAAAAUUCGGCUUAAAAAAGAGAUUCAGUAUAAAAUAUAAAAUAUAAGAUAAUCUAUAUUUAAACAUAAAAAUUAUAAAUUUUUUAUUCAGAUUUUCAAUAAUUCAUGAAUAAUUUACGAAUAAUUUGUAAAUUAUUCGCGAAUUAUUCGGUUGGCCUAAAAAUUCGCGAAUAAUUUUUUUUUUUGGAAAAAAUUCGUAAACGGACCGUUUAAUUUGGAUUUUUAAUAACUCGCGAAUUAACUAACAAAGUUCUAAACUAACUACUUAUUAUAAAUGUUCAAUAUAUAAUCCUUUUAUCAACAGUUCUUUAUUUCGAAUUGUGCGAUGGGUAGCACGUAUAUUGCAUGUAAGAUUUGAAUAACUAAGGUGUAAGAAGAUGAUGAAUAAAUAUUGUUUCAUCUUGUUCUAACACUAAACUUAUACACGUGUAUUGUGUUUUUUACUCGCAAACAAUAUGCAGGCCAUGCCAGAUCAGUUUCAUUGGGUCUUGGUUAUCUUGGGCCCCAAACAAAGUUCGGUUCGGGCUCCCGAGUUUGGCCUGCAGUUUUUCCAUUUGACCCGGCUCGACCAUUUUGGGUCGCACUCAUGUUCAAACUAGAUGUAAAAUUUCCGGAUUGGAUCGGACUUUGAAUCAGACAAAUGAACCCGAUCCGAAGUUAGGAUCGACCCGGACCCUGCUUUGGCCCAGCCUUGGUUCAUUUGAGUUCAGAACAAAGCCAUGUGAUAGGUUGUACGCUAGUACUUUUUCAUACAAUCUAUAAAUUAAAUUUAAUCUGAUUAGAUUUUGAUCUGCUUUAGAUCAGCCAUUUAUCAACCUGGACUGAUUUUUUUUUUUUUUUUUUUUUUUUUUUUUUUUUUUUUUUUUUUUUUUUUUUUUUUUGUUGAUUCAUUUUUAGGAGAAGAUUUGGUUCAACUUGGGUCAUGGCCGAUGCAUGGGUUGAACCAGUGGAGAAGUAAAUGAAUAUAUGUGAGUUGAGCUACUUUCGACAGUAUCCAGUACAGUCGACUAAAAGCUUAAUGAUUUAUACCCGAAAUUGUAAGUUCGAAAUCUAAUUGAUUCACAUUGAAGUGAGUAACUUGUUAUCUUUCUUUUAAGAAAAGUAAGCAUAAAAUUUUUGCCCUUGAAUCUAUACAUAAUAAAUAAAUGGAAGAAGCUAUAUCUAAGUCGGAUAAGUAUGAUCUAAUUAGUGACAUGUUUUGCUUGUAAAAAUAAAUGAAGCUAGUAUUUUCUCACUGCAUUUUUCUUCACCGCAUGCGGAAUACUCGGUCCGUAAUCCAAACAGAGUUGAAGAGAGAAAAAAACAAAGCUUGAUAUAUAUCUAGAGUUGAUUCACCAACUAUAAACUAUGGUAUUUAGGAAGAAAUUAGAGGCUAAUUAAGCAAGUUUUAUCGACUAACGUGUGUUCCGAAACAAGCCAAGUGAUUAGCGUGGCGGCUUUUGACUCACGGAAGCAGAUUUCCACAAUCUUGCCGACGGGCCGUCUCUGUCGCAUUAUCUUCAGUCAUUUUCUCUCUCACUCUUAAAAAAAAUAAUAAGAAGAAGAAGAAAAAAGAGAACCUGUCAUUAAAACGUGCAUGUGUUUUUGAAGUUUUGGUGUCCAAACUUAAGUCUAUUCUGGGAUUGAACGUUGCAUCGAUCUUCCAUGGAAAAUACUGUUUUUCUUCAUCUGCUUGUCUCUUACGCUUCGAGGACUCCCCACCAAGUUUCAGAGCAUGGUGUACAUGAAAAGAAUUUUUCAUCCUAGAACUCUAGCUUUAAUUAGAACCCUUUGCGUUUACAUUUUACAAUACAUUGUGUAAGAUGAGAAAGUAUGGCGAGAAAAUAUUCAGUUUGCAAUGAAUGGUGUUUAAUUUGUAAAUUGUAAUAAAUAUUCAGUUACCGUAUAGUUUCUAUGGUUCUACUGAAAAAAUAAAUAAGUAUAGUGUUAUCUAUGUAUUUUUGUCCCAACUAUUUUUGAUCCAAUAAUGUGAGUGAUACUUUUGAAUACCAAAUAAAUCAUAUUGGCCUGGCUUCUGAAAUAGUACUCUCUAUAAUCACCUAAGCAAUGUAUAAUAGCACCAAUGACUUAAUGCUAUUAAUAUUAUUCUAGCCUAAUUCACUUUCUCUUUCUCUCUCUAUAUAUAUAGAGAAAGAGAGAGAGCUAGGCUGGUAUAUUAUACGUAGCACGGAGGCCUUCGCACUACCAAGUUGUUUUCAAUAUUGCGGCUUCCAAAUUGACGAUCAGCUCCGUUAGACUUGAUCCACACUAUUAAAAGUAUUUGAAAACUAGAUUUUAUAAUUUUUCGGCAUUAUUUACCUAUCAAACGAGUAGUCUAAAAAUGAACGGCUGAAAAUAAAAAUUUCAUAACCAAUGAUGAUAAAAGACUUGAAUUUAAGAUCGGAUGCAAUGAUCUUACUCUAAAUAGUGAAAAGAAUUUUUUAUAAAAAUUUCAUCAAAUUUGGAUUGUUUACACCGUUAAAUUCACAAACGUAUCACAUCUACCAUUAAAAUUGUUAAUUUUGAGACCUUUUCAUCACUAGCCAAAUGAUGUCGAAAAAUGAUAAAAUUUAGUUUUCAAAUACUUUCAAUAAUAUAGAUCAAGUCUACGGAGCCGAUUGUCGAUUUGGAAGCCGCAACAAUUUGGUAGAACGGAGGCCUCUGUAAUACUGAUAGUAUACAAGCCUAACUCUCUCUCUCUCUCUCUACAUAUAUAUAUAUAUAUAUAUAUAUAUAUAGAGUUGAGCUAGGAUACUUUUACAAGUAUCAUCCCCAUGGUGCUAUUAGGUUUUUAGCCAUUGGAUCUACUCCUUGAUUACUAAUAGUCCUUGGAUCAAACACUAUUCCGCCUACCACCACCUACCACCACCUACCACCAUCAUCUCAACCUCACAUCUCUCCAUCCAAGGGCUAAAAACACUAAAGCACCACCCAAGUGAUACUUGUAAAAGUAUUCUAGCUCCACUCAUUUUAUAUAUAUAUAUAUAUAUAUAUAUAUAUAUAUAUAUAUAUAUAUAUAAAACUAGACUGGAAUAUUAUCAAUAGCACCAAGUUAUACCAAGUUAUUUGUGCUAUUAGUUUUUUAGUCCUUGGAGUGAGAAAUGUGCGGUUAGGAUGAUGUGGGCCUACUAGGGUUGAAUUGGUGGUUAGUUAAAUAAUCUAACGGGUAAAAAUAAUCAAAAGGAUUAAUCUAACGGCAGAAAACUUAAUAGCACCAAGUGCUUGAUAUCGAUGCUAUUGAUGGCAUAGCAGCCUCUCUCUCUCUCUCUCUCUCUCUCUAGAUCUAAAGAGGUUUGCACUGGACAAGAAGUUUUAAACCCGCCCUCUGAUUGAGACACAUAACAAAAUCUUUAAAUUUCGUGGACCAGAUUCAAUAAAUCUUCCAAUUCCAACAUUUAUGAUCUGACCCAGUAUUUCUUAGAGGAGAGUUUCGCUGCAUCUACUCGAUCCCAAUCUCAAGCAUGAUCAGGUAAAGCACUACCAAAAUUCUACGUACCAAGGAAGUUGUUGACUAUCUCGAGAAGGAGAGAGGCCAACUUUUCUUUCUUCUUCUUUUUUUUUUUUUCUUUUUUUUUUUUUCGUUUCUAGCAAUAAAUUUGUGCGUAAAAAUUUGGCAUAUUUCCUAUUCUUAGCAUUUAUUUUAAAUGAAUCUAAAAAUUUAAACAUAAUUGGCUACUUAGAUUGUAAAAUUUAAAUAAAUUGAUAUAUAGCUUUGUUUCGCAUCUUAAUAUCUAUCUAAUUUCUGCAGCUCGCAAAAUAUAUAUAAAAAAUUAUGUGAGCAAGAUAUUUUAUUUUGCUAAUACCAAAAAAUUGGUCGAUAGUUUUUAACAUAAUGUUAUUUAAUUUAGAUAAUCCUUCUAUAUAUAUAUUAAUAAUAACUAAUUUUAUCUGUUAAUUUAUAUUUUCGAAAGUUUAACAGUUAAUAAUUAUUCAAAAUUUUUGUUCCGUAUGAAACUGCAGCAAAAUAUAAAAGGAUACGUAAUAGAUGUAGGUUUUUUUUUUUUUUUUUUUUUUUUUUUUUUUUUUUUUUUUUUUUUUUUUUUUUUUUUUUUUUUUUUUUUUUUUUUUUUUUUUUUUUUUUUUUUUUUUUUUUUUUUUUUUUUUUUUUUUUUUUUUUUUUUUUUUUUUUUUUUUUUUUUUUUUUUUUUUUUUUUUUUUUUUUUUUUUUUUUUUUUUUUUUUUUUUUUUUUUUUUUUUUUUUUUUUUUUUUUUUUUUUUUUUUUUUUUUUUUUUUUUUUUUUUUUUUUUUUUUUUUUUUUUUUUUUUUUUUUUUUUUUUUUUUUUUUUUUUUUUUUUUUUUUUUUUUUUUUUUUUUUUUUUUUUUUUUUUUUUUUUUUUUUUUUUUUUUUUUUUUUUUUUUUUUUUUUUUUUUUUUUUUUUUUUUUUUUUUUUUUUUCUGAGAAAAAGGUAAUAUGCUAUCCAUUUUAUUUAUUAAAAUGAUGAAUUAAGUGAAAUAAGGUGAGGCAGCGAAGGCCUCAUUAUGGGCGUACCGCCCGAAAAAAAAAAAAACCUCUAGCGAUUACAGAAGCAGCGAUUGGUAGAAAGGAAUUGUUCCCAUAGGUUCAUCCAACAGUUGAUCUUAUGGACCGUAGACAAGGAAUUGGGCAGGGUUUUUCUAAAGAUUACAUCAUUCCUGACAUUCCAGAUGAUCCACCAUCAUAUAAGUCGAUUUUAUCGUGAACUUUUCGUCCGGGCUUCACUGCAAUUAACACUAUCUGGUCUCUGCUCAGGUCUGAAAUUGAAUAGUCACUCCAAAAGCGCGGAAAAAUUCAGGCACAAACCAUACCCAGAAGUAAUAGAUGUAAUUUUCAAUAUGGAAAGAAAGAUAAUUAACAGAAGAUUCAUAGCGCAAAAAAGAUUUUUUGUCCUAUCACACCUUCAAUCACGCAAACACCGCUUCUACACAAUCGUACUAUUACUUUUCUUUGAUGACCAAUGACUAAUCCACAGCAUUAAUUAAUUAUUACGGUCAUUAAAUCCACUAAUCAGUUUGUAUUCUAUGCACGGCGAGACACGUGGCCCAGUUGUGUUGCACACGGCGAAGACCUGCUUUAAGAGCUGUGCACUAAUUAGUCGAUCUUAGACAUGCGAAAAAUUAUUAUCUACCUAUGCCGUAUAUAUUGCACCUAUUUUUUAAUAAUCUAUAUAGCUUAAAAUUAAAAAUAUAUAUGACAAAUGUGACAGGUUGUCUACAGUAUUUAUGUGCAAAUAGUUAUUAAUUUUAAAAGUUACUAUUUAAACAUUAAGUAUAGCCUUAAUUUAACUGUAUGAAAAAAGCAUUAGUAUUAGAUUCAUCAGACAAUACGUGUCCAUUUUUUUUGUAUGUAGGCUUUUGUAUUAAAGAUUAUAUUUCUCAAGAGGCCUUACGAGAGUUCUUGAACAUAUAUACAUAGUAGCGGGAGUCAUCUAAUUUCUAUAUAUAACGUGUGUGACAGAUCGUUGUAAAAAUAUUCUUGAGAGAACAAUAGUAUGCUAACUGUUGCAUUUAUUAUUUUUUUCAAAAAAAUAAAAUUAGCUUACAAAGUAAAGCAAUCAGGAUUCGAAUUUAGAAUCUCGAGUAUCAAUCAUCGAGCUCCUUAUCACUUACCACUUACGAUAGGAACAGACGGCGACAAUUCAAAUGUAUGAUUGAGCACACCUCAUUAAUUAAAAUUCUGAUAAUGCGGCUUUUAUUAUAAGGUUCUAAGUAAUGAUGUGGUACAGGAAAUUAAGAUGAGGAUACAUAGGCAAUUGUUACUCGACCAGUAAAGCAUGAACGUACGCAGGUAGGCCAACUUUAGAAGUCGUCCUAAUGCCGUGAUCCAAUGGAAAUCCGUCGCCGAAUUCCACGAACCUUUGGAAAAACGAAUCAGACGUUAUCUCCAUAUUCCCCACAACAUUCCCUAUAUAUAUGUAACUAAACUCGGCAUUGCCUACAUACAAACAAGUACGUAGCUUGUUAAAAAAUCUCUAAGUACUAGGGGGAAAAAAAAAUGGCCUACAAGAAGCCUUACUCAUCCCUCCUCUUUGCCCUCCUCCUCUCCGCCCUCGCCGCGGUCUCCCGCGGCGGCAGCAUUGCCGUGUACUGGGGCCAGAACGGCAACGAGGGCACCCUCGCCAGCGCGUGCGCCACCGGCUACUACGCCUACGUGAACCUCGCCUUCCUCACGACCUUCGGCAACGGGCAGACCCCCGUGCUCAACCUGGCCGGCCACUGUGACCCCUCCUCGGGCGGCUGCACGGGCCUCACCUCCGACAUCCAGUCCUGCCAGUCGAGCGGCGUCAAGGUGCUCCUCUCCCUCGGCGGCGCUUCCGGCUCGUACUCCCUCUCCUCCACCGCCGACGCGCAGAGCGUCGCCGACUACCUGUGGAACAACUUCCUCGGGGGGAGCUCCUCAUCGCGGCCGCUCGGUUCCGCCGUGCUCGACGGCAUCGACUUCGAUAUCGAAUCCGGAGGGUCCGCCCACUAUGAUGACCUCGCCAAUUUCCUCUCGCAGAAGCAGGUUUGUGAAAAUAACUACUUCGUCUCGAACUAAAGUUUAAGCUACCAGAGAACGGUAUUUUAAUUAACUGUGCUCAGCAGGUAAUAUUGACCGCCGCCCCUCAGUGCGUGUACCCUGACGCGAACCUCGGGCCGGCGCUCCAGACGGGGCUCUUCAACUACGUCUGGGUGCAGUUUUACAACAAUCCAGGGUGCGAGUACACGUCAGGGAGCACGAGCAACCUGAUCAGCUCGUGGGGGACUUGGACGAGCAGCGUGCAGGCCACCAACAUCUUUAUGGGGCUCCCGGCAUCCUCUGACGCUGCCGGGAGCGGCUACAUUCCCCCCGACGUGUUGACGUCGCAGGUUUUGCCGGCGAUCAAGGGCUCUGCCAAGUACGGCGGGAUCAUGCUGUGGAACCGCUACUACGACGUUCAAAAUGGAUACAGUGCUGCAGUCCAUGGCAGCGUGUGAUUUGUUAGUUAGAGUUUCAGAGUUUAUGAUAAUAAUACUAAUAAUAAUAAUAAUAAUAACGAUUUGAAUAAGGAGUGGGCAUAUGGCCCAUCUGUGGGAUUUCAGAUGUUAUGAUUCCUCUGCAUUUUGGUUAUUCUUGGAAUAAUUGAAGUGUGGAGCGGAAAAUAAAGGAAAGAAUAUGACUGGUGCUUUGCAUUUUCCCUAUUAGUUGACUUCUUGUGGUUUGAAUUGAGCUUUUUUAUUCUUCUGAACUUCGACUAGUCAAUGCAAAAAAAAAAAAGUCUUUUUUUGCGGCGACCUGAAUAGGUACGCCGAAUAACCGGCCCUUACAGUGAGAAAGGUCCACAUCAUUACGUCGUAAUAUACAGUAUCUAAUCUUUUAUUAAGGACUUAAUACUUCCACGAGCUUCUUCCACGGUUUGAGUUCGAAAAAUCUAGCCUAUUGAUGAAAUUUUUCAUAUCAAAUGCUUGCAUGUAAAAAUCCAAGCACUUUUGGAAUAUCUAAAUGGAAACGAAUAUAUAAAAUGAAUUCAAUGAUCGACUUGAAAUAACUCGGACUAAAUCACUCCAUUUCUUUUUCCUUUUUUGAGCAUUUUAUAUGGACUGCGCUGCUGAUCGUAUGUACAAUUUAAGUGGAUCGAAUAUUUUGAAUAACCCCUUGUUGUUCCGAAGCUACGGAGUGUUGAUUAGUGACUGGGUCGAUCGGGUCAACAAUUUCGCGGGUCCGAUCUAGUUCGGAUCCAUUCUCGAAUUUUACCCUUUUUUAAAUUUUAUUUAUUUUUUCGACCAAUAUGAUAGGAUGAAGGAUGGAUAGUCCUUUCCUUCUUAUUAUUUUUUUAUUUAAAUUCGAUGGGCUGGGUGCAAAAUCCUUGUGGGGCUUUUUCGGCCUAGUAUAGUAUUUCUCAAUGGGCCGGGCCAUUCCUGGCUCAAUUUUAUUUUUCUUUACUGAUGAAGUAGUUACGGCGGCUGUACAUAUAUCGGACAUGGCAAAAUUAUUUGUUGAAUCAUUGGCGUUAAUUACAAUUUCAAAAACUCAAAAUUUUAGAAACUGAGAAGCAAUUCAUCUAAAACAAGUAUAUAGACACUGCACAUAUAGGUCUCAGCUGUAACUCAGUUCAAUCUGUUCUCCACCAUAUAAGCAAAACUCUGACGUAUCAGUGAACACAAUAAUAAACUGCAUGUCUCGGCACACACCAAUCUCAUGAAAACACCUAAAAUUAAUUAGGAUAUAUCAAUAAAAUAUAAUUUUUUGAUAAAAUAUAAUUGGCAUUUAAUCUCUAUAUAUAAGAUGGUAUAUAAGAAGUUAGAUUAACCGUCACUAUUCUAUAUGGUCAAAGAAAAGUUUUAAUGCAUCGACUAUUCUGCGCCUAUAGCAGCUUUUUUGUUUUUGUUUUGUAAGUAGUAUAGUUGGAAAGUAGAUUUGUGCCUAAUAAAAUUAUAACGUUAGGCAUAAAGGUUACGAUAAUGUUCACUUAAUCUUCAACGUUAAAAUAACAAAAGAACCAAAGGACCACAAAACAAAUAAUUCCAUAUAUAGUGUACUUUGAAUUCGCUAUUGUUAACUGUACUAUACAUCAUAUAAUAGUGAUCUAGAUAUAUAACUUUCGAGGUAAUAAUGUUGCAUGCGACGUAACUCAUCAUCAGAUUUACAAGAUUCUGAUUGCUGAGUUGUUUAUGUGUGGUGCAAUUUGUGUUUCAGAUUCAAAGUAUUCGUGCAAUAUUUGCUUUUGAUCUUCAAGUCUUUAUUAUGCACAAUUGGAUCUAGUUAGUAUGCAUGCUCUUCUCGAAUCCUCUUCUAUUUCCCUAGUAUGUAGCAUGCUACCUUUCUCUCUCAAAAAAAAAAAUAAUAAUAAUAAUGUGGUUUGGUUGAUCCUUUGAAAGCCCAAUUAUCUCAUUCGGUUUUUUUUUUUUUUUUUUUUUUUUUUUCCCCUAAGUUGCGAACAUGUAUUUUCAACUUUUUAACUAGUUUUUGCUGGUUCGGGCCAGAUCCAACUGGGUCAGGGAUAGACCAAUUCGGCUCGAUCUAAAUCACUUGUUGGGGUUCCUUCCAAACCGGUUUGGUCCACGGAUGAAGCUGGUAAACCCGGUCCCGCAACUAUUCAUACGAGUCCAUAGAAACCCAAUUGCGCGCCACAUCCAUUGACACAGUACAAAUACGUACCUCCCUCUCUCUCUCACUCCAUCUUCUAACUCCCUUCUCUUCACUCUCCCCACAGCAACGCAGCCCAAAAAUAAAUAAAAGCCCAAGAAUCCAGAGCAACCGAAAAAAGAAACAAGAAAAUGGCAUCAUCGUCGAACGGCGGGAUCGCCGCGAACGGCGGGAUUGCCGUGAAUGGCGGGAUAGCUGCGAACCGAGGGAUUGCUGUGAACGGCGGGAUCGCCGCGAACGGAGGGAUCGCUGCGAAUGGCGGGAUCGCCGGGAUCAACUACGUGGUCCUGAUCUUUGAGGGCGCCUUCAGCGUCCGCACCACCGUCACCUCCUCCCCGCAAGUCGCAAGCAGCUGGGUCCAACAAGUCCUCCGGUCUUGGGGCUCCCUCCCCAUCGGGUUGGUCAAAGUCGUCGGCCUCACCAUCGAGCCCCAGCCUAACCUGCUCCCCGGCGACGACCACCCCGCCGCCGUCCUCCAGCUCUGCGUCGACCAAGACUGCCUCAUCUUCCAGCUCCUGCACUGCAACUCCGCCAUCCCUCCCGCCCUCCGCAGCUUCCUUAACGAUCCCCAUUUCGUCUUCGUUGGUAUCGACAUCGACAGGAAUGCCGAUCGGCUGCAGAGGGAGCACGGGCUCUCAGUGAUGAAGAAGAAGGACCUGCGGCUGCUGGCGGCGCUGGCUCUGCAGAAUUGGGAUCUGCUGGGGGCGGACAUGAAGCUGCUCGUGAGGGAGGUGAUGGUGAUUGAGAUGGAGAGGCCGGAGGCGGUGCGGACGAGCGCGUGGCAGCAGCGAGUGCUGUCGUCGCAGCAGAUCGCCUACGCUUGCGCCAGCGCCUUCGCGUCCUCUGAGCUCGGGAAUAUACUGUUAGCUGAUUAGGAAUCCUCUGGUCUAUUGAGCGUUUCUUGGUCGAUAGAGAACACGAAGUUGAUGAUGAGGGGGUGAUGAGGGGGUCUGCACAUGCUCUUGUUUUCCUUUCUUCUCUUUUUUUGUUUUUUGUUUCCUUAAGUUUUUUGUUUUUGUUCUCUUCUGAUGAUCAAGAAACGCAGCGCGCGGUACCAUGCAUACUCGAUCUGUAGUAGGAAUUACACGACUCUGUUUGCUUUUUUCUUUUUCUUUUUUUCUUUUUUUAAUUUUCCUGCAUAAUAAAAGAGCUGCACUUCAGAUCGAGUUUGAGAAGGAUAUCGGAGCAAAUUAAUCAAAAAGGUCCACGCCAUUAUUCUCUCUCUCUCUCUCUCUCGAUCUUCUUUCUCUUUUUCUUUGUUUUUCGUUUUUUUUACACCUAGUUGUAAUGCACUUUUGUUUAUGGGCAUUUAGAUGUGUGAAGCUUCUCUCGGAAUAUAAUUUCAUGAUCAGGCAAUUGUUGCAUUUUGGUUCACGUUAGAUUUUUUUUUUGUUCUUUUGCGUCACAUGCAUAUAUAUAUAUGUCAAACUUUUAGUUUAUAAGCGCAUCAUUCAACAUUCUUAUUCUCUGUUUUUGAUUCGAUUCCAAGGCCUUCUUGUACGCUCUCAAAUUUAAGUCUAUUGUAACGAUAUUUGUUACUAUUUAAAUCAGAUGAUAGCUUAAGUGUGACUUGCUUGAUUCAUGGUGGCCUCUUGUUAAUUUGGACUAACCUUUUCAUACAUGAUCAAGCCGCACCUAGUUUAUUGGUUUGGGAUCCACGUAAGAUUUAAAGUUCACAAAAAUUUGACUCCAACACCACAUAUUGACCUGACUCCAAUUUGAAAUAUAUACUAUUAAAGGUCCGGACCAGGCCUGGUCUCCUCCAAAACAACAAAUAUUUCUACUUUCUAAAUUGGUUCGGUUCACAGAUCAGACCCACUGAACCACGUCCACAUACUAUUGUCCACUAGCCAAGUAAGCCGAGGAAAAGAAAAAUUGCGCGCCAAUUCCAUUACAAAUUGCACCCCCCCCUACAACAACCUCAGCCCCAGCCUCUUCCUUUUACUCUCUCUCUCUCUCUCUCUCUCUCUCUCUCUGUUUGCAACUAGUCAAUCAAAAAGCCAAGAAUUGAAAGAGAAAAAAAGGAGAAGAAAAAGAAAAUGGCAACGAAUAUCCGAGAGAUGGCGCGGCUCUACGAGGUGACCUUCGCUGGGAUCCACAACAUCAGAGCGAGCGUCACACCGUCUGCCGAAGCCGCCGCCAUGUGGAUCGAGAGUGCCUACAAAGGCAGCAGAUCCAGCACCCCCAACAACCCGCAAGUCGUCGGCCUCGACACCAAGCUGCUGCCCGAACUGCGCCCCGGUGACGACGACCACCCCGUCGCCCUCCUCCUGCUCUGCAUCGGCAAAAACUGCCUCAUCUUCCAGCUCCUGCACUGCAACACCCUCCUUCCUCUCGAGCUCAACAUAUUCCUGGCAGACCCCCGCUUCUGCUUCGUCGGUGUCGGUGUGCGGGAGGCCGCCAAUCGGCUGCACAGGGAGCAUGCGCUCCGGGUGAGCGAAACGGUCGACUUGCGUGACGCUGCCGCGCAGAAGACGGGCCUGCAGUGUCUGCGGCAGGCCGGGCUGGAGUAUCUUGUGAAGAACGCGUUGGGCGUGGACCUGGCGAAGCCGGAGGAGGUGCAGAGGAGCGCGUGGCAACAGCGAGAGCUGUCUCUGCAGGAGGUCGCCUAUGCGUGCGCCGACGUCUUCGCGUCCUUCGAGCUCGGGAGCAGACUGCUGAGUUAGGAGUUCGAUCACCCCCAAUACAUCCCAUACGAUCAUGCGCGUUUCUUGGUCGAUAGAGAACAUGAUGUUGAUGGUGUAGGGAAUGCGUUUUUGUUUCUGUUCUCUUCUGAUGAUCAAGAAACGCAUACGUUGCAUGUGUACCGUGCAUAUUCUUGCACUACGUAAGAUUUAAAGUGAACUCUUUUUUCUUUUUCUUUUUUUUUCCUUCUACGCUGCGUACGCUUCAGAUUCAGUUUGAGAAUAUUGGAGCACAUCAACAGGUCCAUAUUAAUUUGUCGAAGAUUCAUUUUGAAAGCCCUACAAGUGUACUCCAACUUUGUUGGUAAAAAUCUGUAAGGUAAAAAUGUAAUGAAACAUCUUGAAAUAGACACUUCAAUCUCAUUUUUUUAAUUAAUAUACCUUUUAGCUUCAAUUUCUUUUCAUUUGAAUUAUUCUAUUAGUUAGGUUAGAAACGUUAUUUAUUUCAGUAACUUUGGUUUCCAUAACUUAUUAACUUUUUAGUUUUAUUUUGCUAGCUAUCACUAAAUUUGGAAAAAAAAAAUUAUCGAAGUUGCAUGAUAAGAGUGCCCAAUAUAAUUAAUUAAACAUUAAAAUUUUUUUAAUAUUAUUUUUGCUAUUUUAUAACUGUGCAUAAGAAGUAAAUAAUUGAUAUAUUCUAACGAUAAUGCACCUCGGUGGAUUCGAAGGAUUCGAGAUAGGGUUAUAGAAAGCCUAACUCCCGAAUCUAAUCAGAAAUAAAUAGAUAAAUAAAAUAAGUUUAUGGAUAAUGGAGAUUGUGGAUAAUGGAUUGGUUUAGGCAGUUAAUUUGCCGCGCAAAUUCCGUUUAAAUCCCUCUCGAUCCUCUCCUUCCAAGUUCCAAAUCCCCUCCCUCUCUUUUUCUUUCCUUUCUCCUCUCCGUACUCAAAAUACACCAAAUUAAGAAAAGCGAGAUAUAUACGAACAAAAAUGGUGACAGGCAUCCACCCUUGCCGCGACGGCUCCUAUGCCGUGGUCUCCAACCACGUCGACACCGCCCACACCAUCGUCGCCUCCUCAGAUGCUGAUGUCGAAAAAUUAUAGUUUGAAGGGUUAGGACAAUUAACAUGACCACGUCGACUUCUUGAAGAACUAUUAUAGUUUGAAGACGCAAAUUUUAAAGGGGGAAAAAGAAUCGAUUUAAUCCACAGCGUUUAGAUCCUAAAGUUUUUAAAAUGCAAGGGGAAAAAUAAUCGAUAUUGAUAAAAAAAAAAAAACGAGACCAUAAUUUAUAUUCCAUGCAAGUUUUAUUAUCUAUACUGGCGAUCAACACUAUUUCUCGUAAUAUGUAGGAUAAAAAAUGAUUAGCUUCCACAAAGAAUCCCAUGUUAGGCCAAAAUUAAGUUAGAAAACGUGCGUCUUCAAAAAAUUCCAACUCCAGCAAGGAAUGCAAUAAUUCACAAAAACUCUAUUUUGGUUGUGCAAUUUAGUUUCCAUUCCAAGAUUAUUAACCUAAAAUUACGAUUAAAUUAGUUAAAAAAUUUACAAAUUAAGUAAAAUGCAAAACAAUUAGUAUGGAAUUUUCAUAAAAUAAUAUGUGAGUGCUCCUUUAACUGGGCUAAGCUGGUCCCAAAGAAGAAUUUCUACGUACCCUUUCAAUUUUCACAGCAUUAAUGCUCGCACUCAUCUUAAAUAAUAGCAACAGAUCACGCCCCAAAAACCAAGUAGCUAGAGUGUAAGUAAAGUUUUUUUUAAAAAGGAAUUCCAUUGAAAGAAGAACAAGAGAGACCAAUUUCUAUUUCAAGCAAGUUUAAUUUGUCAACCAAACAAAGAAGAGUGAAGCGGAAAAACGCGAAACACGGCCGAGGAAACAAAGACACAGGCCAGAGGGAAGAAGAAGAAGAAGAAGAAGAAGGAAAAGAUCAAAUUGCGAACGUAUCCUACUGGAGCAGCCACCUCCCAAUCUCGGACGCCAUGAAGACUGCGGCACACGCCCUCGCAAUCUGCACCUUCGACAAUGGGUUCUGGUCCCAGGCGCCUAUCGCACACCGAAUAUUCACCUCCACCCCUAGCACCUCCUGCUCCAGGACGCGAAGCGGCGCCCACCGCAGAUCGGGCCGGGCCAUGCGCUCCGCCGCUAAUUCCCCAAGAUCCACCCGGUUCCUCACUCGGAGCCGGCACUCAUCCCACAGGUCGUUGGCGACCCCCCUCGCACUCAUGCACACGAAGCGGCAGCCGGAGUAGCGGAAGAAGGUGCGGAGCACGUAGGGGAUCGAUUCAGCGUGGAAGAUCUGGAAGACGAGGCACCGGCGGCCGAUGCACAGCGAGAGGAGAGCGAUCACGCGAUCAUCGGGGUCGAGAGGGAGACGGCACUUGACGUCGACGCCGACAAUGGUGCGCCUGGGGAGAGUUCCGAUGUUGUAGAACCAGUCCUCGACGUCGUCGGCGGAGGAGGUCACGACGGUGUGGAUGGUUUGGCCAUCGUUGAGGGUCAAGGUGUAUGAGCCAUCCCGGCGGCGGCGGAUCGUCGUCGGCAUUUUCGAUGCGUCUAUCUCUCUUUUCUUUUGCUUCUUGGCUCUUUGGUUUGAGUAUGGCGAGGAGGGAGGAGAGAAGUGACCGGAGAGGGAGGGGGGAUUUAAAAGGAAUGGUUGGACCAACUUAUAAAUUCCCUGGACCGGCUCCACCAAGUCAUUCGUGGACCGCCAGGGAUCAUCUCUUCAACUAAGGCUUCUUGGGAUUGCGGGGAGAUUGCGUUACGUGCGGUAAGAGAGUACAUUGGAAAAAUACCCUCUUUAUUUCCGUACGUAAUAUUGCGUUCCACAUAUCGCGAUGAGUCAGUUAUGAUAUAUUUUUUGUGGUUCCACCGAAGAACGCAAAAGCAUAUCCCUAUAUGCUUUUUUCACAACUCCAUUUUAUCUAAUAGCGUUAGAUAGGUCUCAAUACCAAACUAAGUCUAACUCUAUAAAAAGAAGGUGGGUAGUAUUUGAUAGUUAAGCACUCUGAUCAAAUGUUUAAGAAUAGUUAUUAUAUAUAUUCUGUAUAAUUUUUUUUUAUUUUUGAAUAAGAUGAAUUAUUUUGUAAAAAAAUUUGCAAUGCUUUUGCAUUAUAAAUAUUAAAAUUAUAUCUUACAAUCAUUAUAAAUUUUUUUAAUAAAUAACUUAUCAUUAUAUAACUUAUUCUGACAUCUAAAAAAGACUUUAAUCUCUUUAUGUUGUUACAUUUUAAUAUUUUCUGUAAGAAUAAUAAAAAUUUGAAAGUGGAUUAGUGAAUAGACUGCGCCCAUUUUUAAAGCACCUAAACAGUCCAAAAAAAAAAAAAAAAGAAGAUCAACAGUGCAGAAAUGAAAAUCAAAUAAAUUUUACUAUAAACAUACCUGUUUUUUGAGAGAGAAAUUUUAGUAUAAACGUAGCUGUUUUUUAAAAAUGUAAUUUUAGGUUAAUUCCUUUUAGCAAAGUUUGCUUAGAAAUAUCGUUUAUAAACUUUUGACAAUAUAAAUAGCCAUUAAAAUUCAUGUGUAUGAAGAAAUUGUAGAACUGCUUAUUAUAAGUAUAGUAUUUUUUUUUCCCCUGUUCUAAUCCUAGUCGCUCGCAGAUUCCACGCAGUUAAAAAAUUUUAUUUAAAUAAAUCGCAAAUUAAUUUGUAUGGAACUUUCAUAAAAUAAUAUGUUACUAAUCCUUUAACUGGGCCAAGGUGGUCUCGACGCUUUCAAUUUUCGCAGCAUUAACGCCCACACUCAUCUUAAUUAGGAACUUCUUUUUUAAAUCUGAGAAAAUAAUCGUAAUUAUCGAAUCUAUGAAACGUACCUCGCGCCCCAAAACCUUGCAAAUUUUCAAGUGUAAGUUAAAAAAAAAAAAAAAAAUCUAUUGAAAGAAGAAAAAAAAAAGACACUAAUUAAGAUUCCAAGUAAGCAUAAUUUGUACACCUGCGAUUAAUACUGUUUCUUGACAAAAAAAAAAAAAAAAUCUAUUGAAAGAAGAAAAAAAAAAGACACUAAUUUCUAUUCCAAGUAAGCAUAAUUUGUACACCUGCGAUUAAUACUGUUUCUUGACCAGAGAAAAAAGAAGAUCGAAUCAAGAACGAAUUCGCGCAGCGUCUACUCCGACCAGUUAACAGAUUCAGUCGACGAUCGAAACGCCUACUGGAGCAGCCGCCGCCCGACCUCCGACGCCAGGAAGGCAUCCGCGCACGCUCUCACGAUCUGGUUCAUCGACAGAUCGGGCUGAUCCCACCGGCUUGUCACAGCGCCGGUAUACACCCCUACCCCCACCACCUCCCGCGCCAGAACCAAAACAUUGGCCCGCCGCAGAUCGGCCAGGCCCGUCCGCUCCGCCGCCAAUUCUCCGAGAUCCACCAUGUUCCUCACCACGAGCCCGUGCUCGUUGCGCAGCCGGUCGGCGACCGCUGCCGCGUCCACGCUCACGAAGCGGCAGGUAUGGGAGUCGAGGAGCCUGCGGAGCAAGGAGGGGGUCCAGUCGGCGCGGGCGAUCUGGAAGAUGAGGCAUUGGUGGUCGACGGACAGCUGGAGGACAGCGAUCUUGCGCUGGUCGGCGGAGGGGCGUUGCUCGAUGGCGAGGCCAAUGACAAUGCCGGAGAUGCCGGGGUGGCGACUGUGAAGGUUGCGGACCCACUUGAAGGCCUCGUCGCCGGAGGAGGUGACGGUGGCGUGGACGAAGUGGGCUGCAGCAAAGCCCACGGUGUACGAGCCGUUCCCGUGGUGUCGCAACGUUAUCGCCAUUUUCAGUACCUCUCUCUCUCUCUCUCUCUUUUCGCUCUUUACUUCCUUUCAAGUUCUUGCCUCUGGUUUUUGAGUAUAGAGAGGAGGGAGAAGAGGACUGAUCAGAGAGGGAGGGGAUUUAAAAAGUGGCGCGCACGGUUGGACGAAAUUAUUUAUUGCCCGGACAUGGUUCACCAAAUCACCGUGGACUAUCCUGUUAAUUUAUAAUCUAUUUGUUGCGUUUUAAUAUAUUUUUCUUUUAAUCAAUUAAAAGAAAUAUAAAUAUACAUUUGGCUGAAUUAUACUUUUGGGUACGAGCGUAUAGUACUUUAGCCCUCAAACUUUAAUAUGUUGAAUUUUUUUAGAAAAAUUUAUAAAUUGAUACGAUAAAGUCUCAUAAUCUAGUUUAGUUGAUUAAAUAAUGACAUGUCACUGGUACGAAAGUAAUAGAAUAUCUUAAUUAUUAUCGUCUCAUCAAUUAUCAUAAUAUCACAUCACUUAUAGUAGCAGCAUAUUAAUAUUUAGUCAAUUAAUUUUGAUUGUAAGAUAAAAUUAUAGUAAUUAAAAAAAGUUUAAGUAAAAAUUUAUAAUACAAUAAAACUUAAAGGACAAAAUAUUACUGCUGGUCUGUAGACGAAAAGUGUAAUUUAGCAAAACCUAUAAGGGAUGGUGUGUGUGGUUCGAUGGGUGUCCAACGAUGAGGUGGUGGGCUAGGCGCACAGAGUUCUCCGGACAGUUGGUUAUUUCCAUAUUUUGAAAACGCCAUGUAGAGACUAUGUAUCAGUCAUAAAUGUAACAGAUAAGUGGAAUAGUAUAUUACCUCAAAUUUAAUCAUUUUCUUUUAUGCUAUUAUGAGAGAGCAAAAGGUCUAAAAGAAAAUAAUAUUAUAAUUUUAUAUAUAUAUAUAGGAGGUAAUUUUUAUGUUUUUUUUUUUUGGUGCACUGAUAGUACUGCUUUAUUAAAUUUAUGCUAUACAAGGUAUACUUCAAAUUAAUUUCUCCGAGAGCACUAUUAUUGUGUAGCACAAUUGACUAAUAUUCUGAAUUGCGGAUCAAGAGAACGGGACUUCAUAUAUACUUGAUCAUCUUAAUUUGCGCAUUCUUUUACAGAAAACUAUUAGAUAACAAUAUGGCCACACUUUGUGUGGCCCUUAUUGUCUUGGAAAGACAAUCUAUGACUUUUUUUUUUUUCUCCUCUAUUUGGGGCCCUGGUUGCUUCACCUCUGUAGCCUAAUUUACUUAUUCAAUGAAUGAAACAGGUAACGUGCUACCGAUUCUCAAAAAACAACAUGGCCACACUAUUUUCCCAAAAAGGUAAUAUAGGGCUUAAGGUGCAAAUUUUAAAGGAAGAACAUAAAUAAACCGAUUUGCUCCAAAACCUGGCCAAAAAGGAAAUGGGGCAAGAAUAAAAUGAAAUAAAACCAAUUUUGCUCCAAAAUUUGAAAUCUACAAGUUUUAAAACUGUAGGGAAACCGUAAGUUCUACUUUGUAACCAGUUCAUGAAUAUGUACACUUGCGAUCCAGUACUAUUUCUCAAUCGAAGAGCGAAAACAAAAUGCAAAGCGCGGCCGAGGAAACAACUAGAGACGACCGACUGGAGCAACAAGAAGAUCGAAUCAAGAACGAAUCUGCGCAGCGUCUACUCCGACCAGUUAAUGGAUUCAGUCGACGAUCGAAAAGCCUACUGGAGCAGCCGUCUCCCGACCUCCAACGCCAGGAAGGCAUCGGCAGACGCUUUCACGAUCUGGUUCAUCGACAGAUCGGGCUGAUCCCACCGGCUUGUCACAGCGCCAGUAUUCGCCUCUAUCCCUGCCACCUCCCGCGCCAGCAACCAAACGUUCGCCCGCCGCAGAUCGGCCCGGCCCAUCCGCUCCGCCGCCAAUUCUCCGAGAUCCACCGCGUUCCUCACCGCGAGCCCGUACUCAUUGCGCAGCCGGUUGGCGACCGCUGCGGCGUCCAUGCUCACGAAGCGGCAGGUGCGGCAGUUGAGGAGACUGACGAGGAAGAAGGGGAUCCGGUCGGCGAGGACGACCUGGAAGAUGAGGCAUUGCUGGUCGACGCACAGCUGGAGGACGGCGACCGUGCGCUGGUCGGUGGAGGAGGGGCGGACGGGGCGUUGCUCGAUGGCGAGGCCAACAACAAGGCCGGAGAAGCGGGGGUGGCGGCAGUAAAGGUUGACGAGCCACCUGAAGGCGUCGGCGCUGAAGGAGGUGAUGGUGGUGUGGACGGAGUGGAGUGCAAAGCCCACAGUGAACGAGCCGUCCUGGUGGCUUCGCAACGUUAUCGCCAUUUUCAGUACCUCUCUCUCUUCUCACUCUUUACUUCCUUUCAAGUUCUUGCCUCUUGGUUUUUGAGUACAGAGAGGAGGGAGGAGAGAAGUGAUCAGAGAGAUGGAUGGUGGAUUUAUACACCUCUAGCGUGCAUCCAUUAAUUGUGCACGUUAAUUUGGCCAAAAAGAAUAAAAUUAUGGGGAAAAGUUUAUAACUAUUAUUAUUAAUUUUGUUUGUUUAAGUUUUUCUUAGGAGGAAAUUGGCACAUGUAUUUGGCCAAUUAAAUGUGUAAUUUUUAUAUAAUAUAUAUUUGUUUGUAACAUGUUAUAUAUAAAUUAAUAAUUGGUUUAAAGUAAAACAAAAAAAAGUUACAUGAAAAAAAAGAAUGUUAAAAAAUAAAAUUUACUAUUUUUGAAGUAGCCGUUUUGCUCCUUCACCUCUGCAAUUAAUUAUUAUUUUAAAUUAAUUGAACUACAAUUGAAAAUUUAUUUUGUAAUAAAUACUAAAUUAUUUUUUUCAGAGCCGAAGUAGUGUAAUACGUAAAACUACAUGAACUAAUUAAGUCAAACACCUAACUGAAAAAUACAAAGAGAAUUUGCGUCCCAGAAUCGAACAGACAACAUCCACAUAUUUUGUAUACUUAAAAAAAUUUAAAAGAAUCUCAUUGUAUUUUUGUAUACGUGGGAGAAAAAAAAAAAAGAAAAAGAAAGAAGAAUAUAAUUGUAAUCUUUGAAAACUGAACCAGGAAAGAUUAAUUGGUUCUAAGGUGUCGACACGGACCGUAAAUUUGCUCCAAUUAUAUGUUUAUAUUUGAUGUAAUGUGUUAGGUGAUGUUCCACCACUGCAUAUAUUCAUGCAUCUUACAUGCACUAGCAAAAUACGUUUUACGAUCAUCUUAGAGAACCAAAAAAGAAACCUAAAAACACAAAUUCCUCAUGUACAUACAUCAUCAACUCCAUGUUCUCUUCGACAAAGGGCGUAUUUAUCGACGGAUCGAACUCCUAACCUAACAAUACCAUCCCAAUCUGGUAGGAGAUGAAUGCGUCGGCGCACGCGUAGGCGACCUGGUGUGGCUGCAGCACGCGUUGCUGCCACGAGCUCAGCCGGACGUCCUCCGGCAUCUCUAUCUCCGCCCCCAUCACCUCCCUCAUCAGCCGGUCUAGCCUGGCUGACCGCAGUUCCGGGCGCCGCAGACGCUCCGCCACUGCGUCCGCCAAAUCUACCGUAUUCCUCACCAAGAGCCCCUGCUCCGACAGCAGCCGAUCGGCGUGCUCGUUCACGGCGUCGCCGACGAAGCAGAAGCGGGGGUCUUUGAAGAAAUUUUCUAGUUCGGGAGGGUGGGCGGCAUCGCGGUGCAGGAGUUGGUAGAUUAGGCAGUCGCUGCCGACGCAGAGCUGGAGGAGGGCGAUGGGGUAGUUGUCGCUGACGUGCAGUUCCGGCUGGGACAUGACGAUGAGGCCGACGACUUGGGGGUUGAGAGGGCCACGAGUGCCGUAAGCGACGAUGAUUCGGUCGACCCAGUUGGCUACCAUGGCGGCAGAGCGGGUGGCGGUUGUGAAGAUGCCGCGGGGGCUGGCGAAGGCCAGGCCGGGGAAGGUCACGAUGUGCGUCGUGCCGACAAGUCGGCUCUCCGCGGACAUUUCUCUUCUUCUUCUUCUUCUUCUUGGAAUUCUUGGCUUGUGGUCGAGCACGUAGUUGAGAGAGAGAGAGAGAGAGAGAGAGAGAGAGAGAGAGAGAGAGAUGCUAGAAGAGGGGGGGAGAAAGUGGAGGGGAGUUGUUAUGGAUGAGGAGCGCAAUUGGAUUACUCGAGGAACUAAAACGUGGACCUGGUUUACCAGGUCUGCGACGGAGUCAACCGGUUUGUAGACCAGAGCUCAAUCUCAUAUGCGUUGAGAUAAUGUUAGUUGAUAUGUAUCUCAGAGUCCAAUUCAAAAUGAUCAAACCAAGACGUUGAAUAUAACAUAUCAGUAAUACUAUUUUCUCGCAUAACUUAAAAUUUUUAAAAAUAACGAUUAUUUUGUAUUAUUUGUUUAUAGAAUGAAAAAAUUGGAUCAAAUAAUAAAAUAUCUUAAUAGAUGUGAUCAACCAAGAUGCAGAAAUUUCAAACCUGUUUGAAAGAUAUAUAUAUAACUAUAUAUAUAUAUAUAUAAUAUAUAUAUAUAUAUAUAUAUAUAAUAUAUAUAUAUACUUUUUUUAAGCACACUUUUAUGUUUUAUGAAAAAUUUAAAAGGGCUAAUAGUUAGAAAUUUAGGAUUAUACUUGUAGGUUUUUUUAAAGAAAAUUGAUAUUAUCUGACCAAUUUUUACUGUUACCGAUGCAAAAAUAAUCUAAAUCAGGACAAGUACAAUAUAUAUAUAUAUAUAUAUAUAUAUAUAUAUAUAUCAUUAAUGGCGUGGACUUUUUUGAUUAGUUUGAUCCAGUAUCAUUCUCAAACUCGAUCUGAAGUGCAGCUCUUUUAUUAUGCAGGGAAUUAAAAAAGGAAAAAUAAAAGAGAAGCAAACAGAGUCUUGUAAUUCCUACUGCAGAUCGACCAUGCAAAUAUGGUACGCCCGCUACGUUUCUUGAUCAUCGGAAGAGAACAAAAACGAAAAACUUAAGGAAAAAAAACAACAAAGGGGGAAAAACAGGAGCAUGCGCAAGAACCCCCCAUCAUCAACUUCGUGUUCUCUAUCGACCAAGAAAUGGAUCAUCUCAUUACGAGGAGCGCCCGUGCUCCCUCUACAGCUGAUCGGCAUCCCUGUCCAUGUCGACACCGACGAAGUUAAACCAGGCAUCGAUCGUCGAGGAAGCUACGUAUGGAGGGUGGGAGGGAUGACGGAGUUGCAGUGCAGGAGCUGCAAGAUGAGGCAGUUGUCGGUGACACAGAGCUGGAGGACGGCGGCAGGGUGGUUGUCGCUGGGGAGCAGGUUGGGCUAGGAAUCAGUCGUGAGGCCGACGACUUUGAGCAAGCCGCUGGGGAUGGAGCUGACAGACCGGAGGACUUCUUGGACCAAGCUGCCUGCUACUUGCGGGGAGGCGGCGACGCUGGUGCGGACACCGUAGGCGCCGCCAAAGACCAGGACCGCGUAGUUGAUCCCAGCGAUCCCGCCGUUCGUCGAUGAUGCCAUUUUCUUUUUCUUCUUUUUUCUUUUGGGGCUUCUUUGGAUUCUUUGGCUUAUUUUUUUGUGGUUGAAUUGUUACAGAUCAGAGAGUGAAGAGAAGGGAGUUGGAAGAUGGAGGGGACAGAGAGCGAGAGAAAUUGAAGAAUUUGUAUUUGUAUUAAGGGAUGUGGCGCGUAAAUGGGUUUCUGUGGACCCUUUUGAAUAGUAGCAGGACCGGGUUUGCCAGCUCGUCUGUGGACCAAACCGGUUUAGAAGGAACACCAACAAGUUUGUACUUUGUAGGGGAGUUGGCGCGCAAUUAGUUUUCCUUCGGUGGCUUGGUCCAGAUCCGGCUCGGUCCGAACCUUUUAAUAUGUAUUUCAAAUUCGAGUUUAAGUCAAUAUGUGAUGACGGAGUCCAAUCUUUUUUAAAAUUUUUAAAAAAAUCUUACGUCCAUUCCAAAUCAAUGAAUUAGACAAAACUUGAUCAUUCGUGCAAAAGGCUAGUCCCAGCAAAAUGUCUAUGUGACAUCAAUCAAGCAAAUCACAAUUAAACUAUCAUCUCAUCUAAAUUUUGGAGCUCACGAGAAGGCCCUGAAGAGUGCGCUUGUAAAUCAAAAAUUGUACAUAUAUAUAUUUAUCUGACGAAAAAAAAAAAAAAUCUAACGUGAACCAAAAUGCAUUAAUUGCUUGAUCAUGAAAUUAUUUUCGGAAAGAAGCUUCACAAAUCUAAAGUCCAUAGAAAAAAGUACAUUAGAACUAGAUCUUAGAAAAAAAAAAAAGAUAAAAGAGAGAGAGAGAGAGAGAGAGUAAUGACGAUUAUAGACGAAAAUUAAGGGGGGAAAAAGCAAAAAGAGUUUUGUAAUUCCUAUUACAGAGUAUGCAUGUUACCGCUACGUUUCUUGAUCAUCGGAAGAGAACGGAAACAAAAACCUGAAGGGGAAAAAAAAAAAAAAAAACCAAAAAAAGGGAAAAAAAAAAAACAGCAUAUGCAAACCCCCCAGUUAUCAACUUCGCGUUCUCUAUCGACCAAGAAACGGACCACCUCAUUGCGAGAGAUCGUGCGAUGGAUCAGAGGACUUCAAAUCAGCUAACAGUAUAUUCCCGAGCGCGGAUGCCGCUAAGGCGGUGGUGCAUGCGUAGGCGAUCUGCUGCGACGACAGCACUGGCUGCUGCCACGCGCUCAUCCGCACCGCCUCUGGCCUCGCCACCUCAAGCCCUAUCACCUCCUUCACCAGCCGCUUCGUGUCCGCCCGCACCAGAUCCCUCCGCAGCAGCAUCAGUGCCGCCAGCAGCCGCAGGUCCUUCUUCUCCGUCACUGAGAGCCCGUGCUCCCUCUGCAGCCGAUCGGCAUCCCUGGUCAUGUCGAAGCUGGCGAAGUAGAACCGAGGAUUGUUAAGGAAGCUGCGGAGGGCGGGAGGGAUGACGGGGUUGCAGUGCAGGAGCUGGAAGAUGAGGCAGUUGUCGUCGACGCAGAGCUGGAGGACGGCGGUGGGGUGGUUGUCGCCGGGGAGCAGGUUUGGCUGGGACUCGGUGGCGAGGCCGACGAGUUUGAGCGACCCGCUGGGGAGGGAGUCUAAGGACCGGAGGACUUCUUGGACCCAGCUACUUGCGACUUGCGGGGAGGAUGUGACGGUGGUGCGGACACUGCAGAGGCCGCCAAAGACCAGGACCAAGUAGUUGAUCCCGGCGAUCCCGCCAUUCGCAGCGAUCCCUCCGUUCGCGGCGAUCCCGCCGUUCACAGCAAUCCCUCGGUUCGCAGCUAUCCCGCCAUUCACGGCAAUCCCGCCGUUCGCGGCGAUCCCGCCGUUCGACGAUGAUGCCAUUUUCUUGUUUCUUUUUUCGGUUUCUCUGGAUUCUUGGGCUUUUAUUUUUGUUUGGGUUGCGUUGCUGUGGGGAGAGUGAAGAGAAGGGAGUGAGAAGAUGGAAUGAGAGAGAGAGAGAGAGAGAGAGAGAGAGAGAGAGAGAGAGAGAGGAAUUUGUAUUGUUUCAAUGGAUGUGGCGCGCAAUUGGGUUUCUGUGGACUCUCUAGUAGCAGGACCGGGUUUACCACCUCGUCCGUGGACCAAACCGGCUUAGAAGGAACACCAACAAGUGAUUUAGUAAUUUGUAGAUGGAAUUGGCGCGCAAUUAGUUUUCCUUGGCCAAUAUUAGCUGGACGUGGUUCACCAGGUCUUCCGUGGACUAAACCAAUUUAGGAAGUGGCUAUAUUUAGUUGGCUUGGACCAGACCCCGCUUGGUUGGGAUCUUUUAACAUAUAUUUCAAAUUCGAGUCAGGUCGAUAUGUGAUGUCAGAGUCCUUUAUGAACUUUGUCGAUCCAAACCAAUCAACUAGGCCGGGCUUGGUCACACGUGCAAAAGACUAGUCCAAACAAAAUGCUUUUGUGAGAUCGAUGAAUCAGGCAAAUUACAUUUAAACUACUAUCUGAUCUAAAAAGUAACAAUUAAUUAUCACUGUAAAAUUUUUUUUUUUUGAUUAAACAGGGAUUUACCCUAUUUUUGGAGUACAGUAGAACAAGGAGUAAAAUCAGCACAUACAGAAAAAUGAAUUACAUAAGUUGAACCCACAAUCCAAACUCAAUCAUCCCGCCCAGAUGGAUCUCCAGAACUCUACUUCAGCCAUAAUGGAUUUUUCCAUUUCUUCGUGCGUGACUCGUCAAUUGCGAAAGAUCCUCGAAUUUCGCUCUUUCCAAAGAGCCCAACAGGCUGCAGUAAAACAGAGGUCGAAUAGUAUUCUUAUAGUUCCCGACAGCAUAUAUCUAUUGCGAUUCCACCGGGUUGGGAUGUCCCUCGCUCGGUUAAUCAUAUGGUCUGCAGAUGAUCCGGCACUAUCAAGGACCAAAGACCAAACAGAUCUCGAAUAGAUGCAUCCAAAGAGAAGAUGUUCCAGAUUAUCAUCAUAGGCGGAACAUAGCACGCAUAUUGAAGAUCUAUGCCAUCCUCGUUUAGCAAGUAAAUCGGCUGUCAAGAGCCGAUUCCUCGUAGCUAGCCACAUAAAUACCUUGAUCUCACUGUAAAAAUUUUAGAGCGUACGAGAAGGCCUUGGGAUCGAAAAUACUGAAGCGUGCCCCUAGAAAUCAAAAAUUUUAUAUACAUAUAUACAUAUAUAGAGUUCAGCUUGAAUACUAUUAAUAAUAAUUAAAAUUUUUGACUAUUAAUGAAUCUACAUUUUAAUCAAUUUUAUGUUUUAGAUCAUUUUAUUUAACCAACUACUCACUCAACUCGAUCUAGAGAAAUUAUUACUAAAUUUUAGGGGACCAUUAUUAUCCUAACCCUAUAAUUUUUAAUCCAAAAAUUAAAAAUUUAAUAGCAAAAUACUCCUAAUACAAUUAAUAGUAUUCCAACUUAAUUCUAUAUUUUAUAAAUAUAUAAAAAAUGUAAAAAACAAACAAAUCUCACGUGAACCAACAUGCAUUAAUUUCUUGAUCAUCAAAUUAUUUUCCGAAAGAAGCUUCAAACAUCUAAAUGCCCAUAGACAAAAGAACAUUACAACUAGGUCUGAAAAGAAAAGAAAAAAUAAAAGAGAGAGAGAGAGAGAAUAAUGGCGUGGACCUUUUUGAUUAAUUUGCUCCAAUAUCGUUCUCAAACUCGAUCUGAAGUGCAGCUCUUCUAUUAUGCAAGGAAAUAACAAAAAAGAAAAAAAACGAAAAGAGUAGUCUUGUAAUUCCUACUACAGAUCGAGUAUGCAUGGUAACCGCUGCGUUUCUUGAUCAUCAGAAGAGAACAAAAACAAAAAACUUAAGGAGAAAAAAAACGAAAAGAAAAGAAGAAGAAAGGAAAACAAGAGCAUGUGCAGAACCCCUCACCAUCAACUUCGUGUUCUCUAUCGACCAAGAAACGGAUCACCUCAUUAGAACGCCCAAUAGAUCAGAGGAUUCCUAAUCAGCUAAUUAUAACAGUAUAUUCCCGAGCUCGGAGGACACGAAGGUGCUGGCGCAAGCGUAGGCGAUCUGCUGCGACGACAGCACUCGCUGCUGCCACGCGCUCGUCCGCACCGCCUCCGGCCUCUCCAACUCAACCAGCGUCACCUCACUCACAAGCCGCUUCAAGUCCGCCCCCAGCAGAUCCCAAUUCUGCAGAGCCAGCGCCGCCGCCAGCCGCAGGUCCUUCUUCUUCAUCACUGAGAGCCCGUGCUCUCUCUGCAGCCGAUUGGCGUUCCUGUCGAUGUCGACACCGACGAAGCAGAAACGGGGAUCGUUAAGGAAGCUGCGGAGGGCGGGAGGGAUGAUGGAGUUGCAGUGCAGGAGCUGGAAGAUGAGGCAGUCUUUGUCGACGCAGAGCUGGAGGACGGCGGCGGGUUGGUCGUCGCCGGGGAGCAGGUUAGGCUCGGGCUCGAUGGCGAGGCCGACGACUUUGAACAACCCGCUGGGGAGGGAGCCCCAAAACUGGAGGACUCGUUGGAUCCAGCUGCUUGCGACUUGCGGGGAGGUGGUGACGGUGGUGCGGACGCUGAAGGUGCCCUCAAAGACCAGGACCACGUAGUUGGUCCCGGCGAUCUCGCCGUUCGCAGCGAUCCCUCCGUUCGCAGUGAUCCCGCCGUUCGCAGCGAUCCCUCCGUUCGCGGCGAUCCCGCCGUUCGCGGCGAUCCCGCCGUUCGCAGCGAUCCCUCCGUUCGCGGCGAUCCCGCCGUUCGACGAUGAUACCAUUUUCUUUUUUCUUUUUUCGGUUUCUCUGGAUUCUUGGGCUUUUAUUUUCGUUUGGGUUGCGUUGCUGUGGGGAGGGUGAAAAGAAGGGAGUUAGAAGAUGGAGUGAGAGAGAGAGAGAGAGAGAGAGAAAGAGGAAUUUGUAUUGUGUCAAUGGAUGUGGCGCGCAAUUGGGUUUCUAAGGACUCUUAUAAAUAGUUGCGGGACCGGGUUUACCAGCUUCGUCCGUGGACCAAACCGGUUUGGAAGGAACCCCAACAAGUGAUUUAGAUCGAGCCGAAUUGGUCAAUCCCUGACCCAGUUGGUUCUGGCCCCAACCAGCAAAAAAAACUAGUUGAAAAGGUGAAAAAUACGUUCGCAACUAAUUCGGGGGGAAAAAAAAAACCGAAUGAGAUAAUUGGGCUUUCAAAGGAUCAACCAAACCACAUUAAAAUUUUAAUAAGCUUGUAUAUAUACCUACUCAAUAAUUAAUAAACUAGGCAAAUAGAAGAGGAUUUGAGAAGAGCAUGCAUACUAAUUAGAUCCAAUUGUGCAUAAUAAACACUUGCAGAUCAAAAGCAGGUAUUGCACGAAUACUUUGAAUCUGAAACACAAAUUGCACCACUUACAAACAACUCAGUAAUCCAACAACAUAAAAUAGACAUCAUAGAACAAAAAACCACACACGCGCGCACACAAAUCCAAACAUCGAACCAUAACAAACCUUAACAAUUAAAAAUUGAUAACUCACUCUCAACCCCUUCAUGCAAACAUAUUACUAUUAUUUUCGUUUGAGAAAUGAUUGAUUAGUGGUCUUGAUUGAUUCUUCAUUUCUAUUUUAUUAGUGUGCGCUUUACCUGAGCUGUAAUUUAAGACCAUGCAAGUACACUCAUUGUUUCUUUCCACUAGUAACACUCGUACAGUUUGGUAUCCAACUUGAGGCAGAAGUACACCUCGCCUUCGAAUGCGUCUGUCGAGAGAGUCGCCACCCCUCAGCUCAUGAAGAAGUUGCCCGUCCUGCGCGCCUACCACCGAUAUAACUCUCGUCUUGUUCAUCAGCAGGUCGGCGGCCAUGAAGUUGAUCACGCCCAUGUAAUCGGUCGAAUUGAACACAAAUUAAAGAGAAGCCCAAGCAUGCCGUGUACACUUUCUUCCGGUCAUAUAGAUAGAAACCCUACUACAAGUAAGGAUAAAAGGAGAACAGAAUAUGUACAUGAUUGCAUGGAUGUAUAUUUGAAUGGAAUUUGUUUGUAUGUAAAUGAAAAUUAUAUUGAAAUCCAGCUUCGGUUGAACUAAGUUUAUGUGCAUGGAAUCGUUUCUUUGUUUGUUUAAUAGAAAGUUUAUCAUUUCAGAACAAAAGCUGCUUCAUCUUUACUAUCUGUUUUACGGGAGCUAAAUAAUGCAAAAGCCGAAGUUCUGUCACUUUAUUUGUCCGGCCGUAAUUUACUGAAUUUAGCAUCAAACACAUCCACGGCGAAAGUCAUGAUUCUCACCAACUAAUGAUUAAAUGCAUGUUUUACUAAUCUUUUUCUCGCUUCUUUCGAUUCAGUAUGGUUACAGUAUUUUGCAAAAGUAAAAUUAAACUUAUUUAUAGUUUAUGGCAAAGGCUAUUUACAACGAAAACUCAUAUUCAAAAGCUAAUUAGGCUGCAUUUCAUUUUCUUUUCCCCUACCUGCGCACGGCCCACCGGCGGUGAGUGGAGGUUAUUGUCUAAUGUGACGGGUCGUCGAACAAGACCACGUCUCCAAAUAGCCUGUAUAUUAACAGCCUUUUUUAGAGAUUUUGUAAGGUCACAAAAUUACUAUAGGGAGUUUCAUGUCUCAUGAGUAAUUAAGGCCCAACAUCCUCUUGCUUAAACUUGGCCAAUUUGGAAAGCUCAUCAACUGCAUCAACCAACCAAUCGAGCCGCGCGACGAACUCGAUGAGAAGAGAAGUAAAAGUGGCAAGCGAGAGCGCCGUGGUGCUCUCUAACGUGCGCAUUUUCGGUAUCAUCUCGGUGUCAAUCCCUCCAUCCUCUUCCAGUUCAUCCACCUCUAUUGACGGCCACGAAUGGAGCCUCCUUUCUUGCUUCUUCAUGAUGUGGUCAUGACAGCUCAAGUGUUCAUGAUCACCUAAAGAGAGAGUGUUGGAGAAUGUAUUUGUGGUUGGUUUUUUGGUUAAGUCUAAGAGGUGUAGUUGAGUAGGGGUGAGGAUGUAGGAGUGGAGUUGCAUGGAGUGUUGGAGGUGAUAGGUGGAGGUGUGAACGCUCUUUAGGAGGGUUAGUGUUCGGAGAGUGUGCUUCAUGUUGCUUACAUCGCUUCCAAGCACGCGGAGGAGUUCCGCAGCAUGAAUGGCGGCGUCGACGAUCUCCGAACGAAAUGCCAUACGGAGAUUGUAUGGAGCCUGCAAGAGUAACAAAAUGUUGGUAGUGUUUUCAAAUUAACUAUAGCUAUAUGAAGAGGAGGAAAACACUCGAAUCUAUCUGAAUUUUGACCUGAUUGUAUAUCAUCUAGAUUUCUAGUCAUAUUUGAAUUUAAAAAACUCAAAAAUUUGUACUUCCGGAAUCCCUGAACAUCAGUUAAAUUACUGAUCACCAUUUGAGCUUUAAACUUUUGAUGUUAUUGGAAUACUUUAUGAAUUAAUUUUAGAUAGAUAUUUGACUGAAGCGAUCGAAUUAAUUUUUCAUGUUAAAUUUUUAAUCUGCAAUCAGGUAGAACAUUUUCCCAAAUAGAACGUACUUUUCCUUUUCAAGUUCUUAGUUACUCCAUCAAAGAUAAACUCAGUUCUUUAAUUCUCAUCAAGCUUUUUGCAACAGAAUACAAUUACUGUAACAAACUAUAUCAUACUUAAAGUUAAAGAGGAGAAUAAAGCAAUGUUUACUGUAAUUUCCACUUCAUCUAGAAACAUUUUUUUUUGAGAAAAAAAUAGCAUGCUACCUGCUUCAUUCAAUAAGAAAAUAAAUUUAGCUACAAAAUAUAGAGGCAGCUAAGGCCUUAGUAAGAACGAGAAAGACACACACCCGCACAAACACACACACCCCCCACCCCCCCACACACACACCCGGACGUGCGCGCGCGCGGCCCCCCCCCCCCCCCCCUUCAUCUAGAAACAUUAAUUAACUGUCUAUAUAUAGAGUGCCAAAGUAGGGGAUUCUUUUUCCUUUUCCUUGGUUUUUUGGAAGUACUUUUAGAUUAUUGAGCAGAAUCGAAUCACAUGUUGAUAGAGAACAAUUCCUGGCUUUUUGAGGACUAUAACGUUACAUUUUUUUUUUUUUUGAGCUGUUUAUGGUGGAAGAUAUAUUCCUUAAUAAUGCCUAUUAAAAUAAUAUUAUGUUGGUUUUGUUUUUAUGUGUCUUGGAACAGCACAGACGCACACGCUUUAGAAAUUCGGAGGAGAAUGUGUAAAGCAAUUAAGUUGGGUUUGAUUAAUGGAUAUGCAAUUAAAUCCCUUGGUUUAAAGGAAUAUAAACUCUCUUUGAACGUGUCGAGUUGAUGAAGAAUAAUACUUCUACUAGAAAAAACAAAAGGCAUGCCAAAUACUGUAAAUAGUUCUAAUUAAGGUAUUUCUUGUGCGUUCACAUCUUUUCAAGAUCCUUUCCAUACACAAUUAAACGCAUAUUCAACAUUUGAGAACCUUAACUUCAUUAAUAUCUGCUUCUUUUAAAAUAAAAUGUUGAAUUUCUUUUACAGUAUCCAAAUUUUAAAAUAAAUGUCACAUAUAUGAGUUGUCUAAUAGUUUUAAUUCUUAGUCUAUUCAAAUUUUAGCACUUCAAAAAGUUAGUAAAUUGCUAUUUAUUAUAAGUUACAGGAUUUGUAUCUCUGAAAAGCUAAUAUAGAGAUCAUAAAGAGAAUAAUAAUUGAGCUAGUUUUAGAAGCUUUUCUUCUAUUAUUGUUAAAUAAAUAACUUAAGAAUAAUAUUUUCUAAACAGUUUAAAUUUUUCGAGAAUAACGAUUGUUUUAUAUAAUUUUACAUAACACCAUAACAAAAGAUUCUUCGUUCGAAUUUUACCGGACCCCUACCCUUAUUUAAUUACGCGUGGGAUCUCUAAAACUUAAGUUAUUUCACAUUAAAUUUACAAUUAUUAUUUUUUUGAACUACCCAUACUAAAAAGAGUGAGGCUACUAUACUAUCGGAAGCACGGAGUCUUUCGUGCUUCCAGCUCGUUUUCGAUGUUGCGACUUUCGAAUCGUCGAUCGGCUCCGUUAAAUUUGAUCUAGAGUAUUUGGAGUACCUAGAAAAUAAAUUUUAUUAUUUUUCGAUAUCAUUUGCCUAGUGAUCGAAUGGGCUCAAAAUCAACAAAUUUCAAUAGCCGUAGUGAGCCGUUUGUAAGUUUAACGGUGUAGAAAUAUCCAAAUCACGUGAAAUUUUGAUAAAAAAUUCUUUAUACUAUAUAAAACAAGAUCAAUAUUUUUGAUUUAAAAUUUUAAUGUCAUAUUAUUACAUUUUGUAAGAUUUUUAUUUUCAGCCGUUGAUUUUGAGCCCCUUCGUUCACUCGGCAAAUGAUAUCGUAAAGUCAUAAAAUUUAUUUUCUAGGUACUUCAAAUACUCUAGAUCAAGUUUAACGGAGCCGAUCGACGAUUCGAAAGUCGCAACAUCGAAAACGAGCUGGAAGCACGGAAGGCUCCGUGCUUCCGAUAGCAUAGUAGCCUCACUAUACUAAAAAUAU
rnacentral:lncRNA from 1 species